rnacentral:lncRNA from 1 species
CAUCAACAACUUCCACUUAAAUGGUCAAUACGAGGGUUUUCAUGUUAGUAAGGAUUUAAUCCACCUUCCCUUGCUCCAAUUUGCCCCAAUUUGCCGAUGACACCCUCCUUUUUUGCAAAUUUGAUGAUCAGAUGCUUCUCAAGCUAGAGGAUGCCAUUAGGCUCUUUGAAUGGUGUUCAAGGCAGAAGGUUAUUUGGAAAAAAUCAGCCCUUAGUGGUGUAAAUGUAUGUGAAGAUAUCUUGUUCCAAACAGCAGCUCGUUUUGGAUGCAAGGCAAAAAAAUUGCCCAUCCUAUAAUUAGGUCUACUCCUAGGAGGAUACCCUAGGCAAAGGGAGUUUUGGAAACCAAUUAUAGAUAGAGUUCACAAGAAAUUAGAUAGAUGGAAGCGCUGAUAUCUCUGGAGGGAAGACAGUCCUUAUGCAAUGCUGUCUUGGCUAGCCUUCCUACUUACUACCUAUCUUUAUUUUUCAAUCUCCGGAAUGUGGCAACUUCUUUGGAAAAAAAUCAUGAGAAACUUCUUUUGGUAAGGCUUUUCUGGCGGCAAGAUCAACCAUCUUGUGAAAUGGAGUUUGGUUUCCCUUCCUUUAAAAGAUGGGGGCCGAGGCCUAGGAAGCAUUAAAAUUCACAAUUCAGCUUUGCUUGCCAAGUGGGGUUGGAGAUAUUCAAAAAAGGAAACAGCCCUUUGGAGGAAAAUAUCCAUAGCAUCCAUGGCAAAGAUGCUUUUGAUUGGUUGACUUUGGGCAAAUUUGGAAAUAGCGUAAGGAGUCCUUAGGUUAGUAUCUCUAGAGCGUGGAGGUUGGUGGAGCCACUAACACUUUUUAAACAUGGCAAUGGCAGCAGAAAUGGUUUUUCGACAGACUUUUGGGUUGGUUCCUCUACUCUUUAGGACCUUUUUUCAUCACUUUACAGAAUUGCUUUAUUUCCCCAUGGCUCAAUUACUGAUCAUUGGACCUUUGACACCCUAUCUUGGUCCCUCUCAUUUAGAAGAAGUUCUUGAGCAAAAUUGCAGAUUUCAGCUCCUUAUUAGCUCUCCUUCUGCUGGAACAGCUUUUUCUCCAUUUUUUAUAUUGCUUGGGUCUUCGACAGUUCCCUCAGCUCCUCGGUAUUUCAGCUUUUGGAGGGACCACUUCUACAUAAGAAGCCUCAGCUCAUUUGAUUAUAUAUUUUAAAAGCUCUCUUGGCCGAAUUGUGGUUUGAACGCAAUCAACAGAUCUUCCACGAUAAGCAAAGACCAAGAUCAGAAGUUUUCUGCUCCCCAGAACGCAGCCCAGCAACUUGGUGCUCUCUAAACAAGGAGUUUGUGAAUUACUCCACUCAAGACCUUUGUCUCAACUGGACAGUCUCUCUCAACCAGCCCCCUAACCCCAGUUUCUGUUUUGGUGACUUUGUCUGCAUUUUGACAGCCUGGUUUUACCCUCUCUGGCAGGCCUUCCUUGGAGCACAGCUUUUAUUUUCUUUUGUUUUAGUUUACAUAGUAGCAGAUUUUGUAUUUCUUUAUAGGCUCAGCCUUUGUAAUUGUACUGCUUUGUUUACCCCAGUUCCCCUUCCUUAUUUUUCUGUUUUCAGCUCUCUGAAUUAGGCUGGACUAUGUUUCCAUUGUAUUUUGGCAGAUUUUACUUCUAGUUUCUAUUGGGAUAUGAUGUUUUGUUACUAGGGAGGUGUCGACCUAUUUGAAAUGUCUGGGUGCACCUUCUGAUUUCCCCUAGCUUAUCUUUCUCUAGGCUUCUUUAUUAUGCUCAUUGUAUAACUCUCUUGUACUUUGAGUUUUUAUUAAUAUGGAAGUUUGUAUCCGUUUCAAAAAGAAUUUGUACCACUUGAUUUUUUUUCCAUACUCCAGUCUUGUUAUUUUAGUUCUUAGCUAGUUUGUUUUCCUCCCCCUCUUCAAUUAAAUAAAUUUCUUACAAAAAGAAAUAUUAAUAAUCUAAAGUUUCUGCACGAGAAAUGUCUUAUAAUUCCCUUUCUACUUAAUUGACUGAUCUUCAGGUGUUUAAUAAGUCAUUCAAGAAAAUAUUAUUUUCAUUUACAGUGCCAUGGAUAAAAAGAUUAAUAAAAAAAUCAAAUGAGCCUAACAUGAGCAUACAUUUAAUCAUUAUUUACCAUAAAUUUGGCCGAUUGAAACUUUGACGGAAAAUUAUGCAGUUAAUAAGUCCAAGAGCUUGAACAACAUCCUCUUUUACACUAGCUGUUGCAGUAGCUGUUAGAGCUAAUACGGGAAUUUUAGGGAACUUUUGUUUCAAGAUACCAAGGCCCUGAAGAUUUAAAGGAGCUCUUAUCAAAACCCAAAAGAAAGAAAUGCCAGCAACUGGGACUUUGUCAUGUCAAAUCACACCUCCCUGCCUAAAUGGUUGAGGAUGAGAUCAAAGCUUCACACUUACUCAGGUUUUUAUGCCUGUUUUAGAUAGUGGGAAAGACAAAUCAAAAGCUUUUGAGGAUAAACCUGAUAAUCUGGUCUAAAAUCAUGCCCCCACUGACUGACGCAAUGUGCUUCAUCAAUAACAAUUCUGGCAAGCAAGUGACGAGCAUUCAAACUCUCCAAAUGUCUCAAAAGAACAUCGCUUCUGUACAAAACAAUUCAUUGAAAAGGAAAGGAGAUGAACCAAUCUCAGUAUCAAUUACAUAAAUUAUUGAACCAAUCUCAGUAUCAAUUACAUAAAUUGUUGAACCAAUCUCAGUAUCAAUUACAUAAAUUAUUGAACCAAUCUCAGUAUCAAUUACAUAAAUUAUUGAACCAAUCUCAAUAUUAAUUACAUAAAUAAUACCAUUAUAAAAAUAAAUGUCUGUCAAAACAUUCGAGGGAAAAAAUGUAAACAGUAUUUUACUAACUGAGAAGGAAUGCAGUCAAGGAAUAAACCUCAUGCAUACCCCAAUAACUAAAUAAGCAACCAAAACCUGGGGGGAGGAAAGUUUUGAUCUAAAAAAGUUAAGAAAAGACUCCCAGCUACAUCAACCACCAACCCUCCCCAAGCUCUCCCUAUCCUUUCAGCAAGAACACAAACACCAAAACAAACUUCGACAAUUUGAUACUUGUUAUUAUUUUAUAAACUGACUAUUAUCAUUCUAUAAGCACCAUGAUUGAUGCUGAUUUCAUAUUACUACCACCGCCUUUAUGGAAUUUUACUUGAGUUUUAUUUUACUUCGUUUAUUAAAUUUGAUAUUGAAUUAUACUUUAGAAAUCAUUAAGAACAGUUGCAGGAAAAAGGAGAGGGCAUAUUUUUAGGUCGAAACUAAAAUAUAUUAGAACUUAACCAUUUUUUACAUAAUCACAAGAUUAGUCAUCUGAUGCAAAUAGUGUGUAAAACAAGAUCUUUCCUGAUAUUGGCAUUCCCACUGCAUGACUGGCAUGCCCAAAAGAGGGCAUGUCUAAGGCGUACUUAAUUUAUGGCUGCAGCUGCUCGGUGGCUAACAUAGUGCUGUGUUUUUCCUGAACUUUUUCUUUGUGCAAGCACCAAGCCUAUAAAGUGUUUGUUCCAGUAUUUCAUUAACUACUGCUUUGGCAAUUAGUUGAAAUGCCAAGAUUCUUAAGUAGGCACCAACAGUUUUUUUUUUCCUUGGUAUCAAUUAGAAACUUAAAGCCGCUUUUUCAGUUGUGAGCCACUGAUAUAUUUUUUCUUUUCCUUUUUCCCUUGACUGACUGCUAGGCAUUUCAAUGAUAGAAAAUCCAUAGUUCUUUAGGUUCACUGCAUACCAUAUUUGUUUCUAAUAAAAGUAACAACUUCCAACAAGAGAAAACGAAAGGAUACACAGAGCAUAAAAAAUAACAAGCUCAGUCAUAUGGUAUGUAGUAGGUUUGCUACAUGGUAUAUGGCUGGCUAUUCUAGUUUAUUCUUCUAUCUUUGAUCACUAAUUCCCAGUUAUACUAUUUUAGUAUAUGGAUCGACAUAUUCUUUUUUCUUCCAGAAAUCGAGGAAACGCAUGAAUUGGUAAUGGGUUAUGUGUAUCAGAAAACAAAUAAAGGAAGAAAAGCUAAAACUAAAAUCUAAUGUAGGUUUUUCAUCGAUAUCAGCAAUGGGAAUGAGAAGAAUCCCUGAAACAGGAGACAGGAAGAUGGUGGUGGUGGUGAUCGUGGAUUCAUGGUGAAUAAUGCCCUGACAGGUGGCAAAAGCCGUCGACAGGGCAAGGAAAAGAGAUAGUUCCUUUCAUUAUUGAAUUAACCACAAUUAAGCUUCUCUAAUAGUUUCAUCAACUUUCAUUCUAAAUCUACACCAGUUUCUUUUGAUUCGAUUUCGAUUAAUAGACCAUUUGUGAUCUUAACAAUUAUGUCUUACGUUAUUCUUUCUUUAAGUAUUAUGGCUUGUUUCAAGGUCUUAUGACAAGAGAGACUACAGGUAAAAAAAUGUGAAUUUUAAACCAUCAAUUCACAAAAGUUUAAGUUUGUAGGUGAGGGUAAAUUUAAUAUAAUAUCCAACACUAGCCAAUACUUGUGAGCUUGAAAUAUCUAGAAAGAUGCAACAAGCGGUAAUCAAUAUUAAAUAGGGGAGAAAUGGCGUUGCAAAGACUUGAACACAAGACCUUCCUGGACUACUUGCUUUGAUACCAUCUUAAAUCACAAAUUGACCCAAAAGUUUAAGCUUGUAAGUGAGAGCAAAUUUAAUAUAACACCAACAUGAAUCAUUAAAUCUCGUGCUUUUUCUUUGAACUUUUUCAUAAGCUUCUAACUAUGCACACAGAAGAAAACAUGACUGGGGAACUGACUCACCAUAAUGUGAAACUGGUGGGGCUUCUUAUGACUAUGUUAUUGACGGAAAGAGAGCAUAUAUAGAGAUUAUGUUGGAAACUCUUGUGUAGAAAAAAUAAAAGGGCUUUCAUCGCAGUAAGUAAGAUGUAGAGAGAAAGAUGACACAAAAAUCAGAAUAGUUGCAUUUCUGGAACAAAACCAAUUUUGAAAUGGAAUCAAAGCUUGAAACUAUAAAGCAAAAUAUUGUGAGUACAGAACGUCAAAGAUACAAGGCACUAGAACAAUUUGUGAAUAACAUGUGAUUAAAACACAAGAUGAACUUAGUUGUAAAAAAAAAAGACCAUUUGGCACAAAGAGGAAGGGUUGGUUUAAUAGUGAAAUGAUUGUGGUAAAAUGUAGUGGUAAGGGCAAGUGGUCAAAGAAAAGGAGAGGCAGUGGAGCUACGCUAAUGCAAGAAAUGAGAGGAAACACCGGUAGGGUGGGACAUCAAAGAGAAUGAGAGGCAAUGGAGCUACGCUAAUGCAAAGAAACCAAUAACCAAAGAAAACACUGUCAGUGAUUGACAUGAAAUUGGAGAUUCUCAUCUUCGAGUUUGUCUAUAUGCCAGUGAUAAACAUGCAAAAAGAAACGAAAGGGACCAAUGCUAACGAGAGACAUUAUUAGCGCUUUUUAAGAUUUUGAAGCCCUGGAAGCAUCAACUUGAUCUCGUCAGUUUAAAAUAACUAAGUAGUUUAUUCUGCAUGGCUUAUAUCACCUUGACGUAAUUCACUAGCAAAGAUCAUGUCACUGAAGGUAAAAGUAACGAAUUAAGUUAUUAUACUAAGAGAACAACAGGUAAUACUUACUUAGCAACUUUCUCUGGCGUGACAUACAGAAGCUUGUAUUUGGAGCAAUCAGAACUCAAGUCUCUAAAAAUCUCUUGUUGUUCACUCCACUCCAUAUUGGCACUUAGGUAAGCAGCCGAUAUGUUUGCCUAUGGUGUGAUAUAAUUAGCUAUAGAAAGAAAAUAACAGAUUGAGAAUACCAUCAUAGGCUAAACUUGCCUGUAUUAGAUGCAUGAUCUGAUCUUGGAUAAGAGACACAAGUGGAGAUAUAACCAAUGUUACACCGGGACAUAUCAAAGCAGGGAGCUGCAGAGAAACCAAGUAGUAAGUAAUAAUUUCAACCAUGAAACAAAAUUGCCAAAUUCCUGACAAUCAAUGAGGAAAUAUUCAUAGCACUGAAGAAACUUGUAUGAUUAGCAGGCACAAAGAGCUCAAACAUCAAAAUUGAAGGUUAAUAGAGAUAUCAACGGUAGACCAGUUUGAGUGUCUGAACGGGAAACCUAAAAGUAAAUGCUUGAGGUUUUGAGAUAUGUUCAUUUACCUGGUAGGUUAAGCUCUUUCCCCCUCCAGUUGGCAUUAAAACAAAGACGUCAUACCCACUCAUUGUAGCAUUAAUGACCUCUCUUUGAUUCGGACGAAAUGAGUGAUUACCAAACACUUUUUUGUUAUUAGCCUUAAAGCAUAAAAAAUCAAAUAUAAGACAAAGGGCAAUGAGCAUAGAAAAACACAGAAGCUUAAUAGCCUUAGAGUAUCACCUCCAACUCUUUUGUCCAAGAAAAAUUCCGGCUGCUCCACUUUUUGUCAUUAGAACCUUCAAUGUAGUUGACAUCAAUCACCUUGGGGAUGUAUGGUUCUCUCUCCACUGGACCAGAUGACAUUCCAAAUCUUUCAUCUACAUAGGAUGAACCCAUUGAAUUCCAUGGCUCAAUCCUUCUAGGCUCAAAGUCUUGGUGAACAUAUGAAGUAUUUAGUUUUGCAUCGGUUCUGAAUUCAACUCCUGGAGGUGUUUCAAAAUGAAAAGUCUUCGGAGUAACUGUUGUUGCAAAAAGAUGAGACCUGCGCCUUUCCUCAUUAACUGCAUCUAGAGAAAUAUGUCUUUCUAGCAGCUGAAUUUGUUUAUUUAGAUGUACCCUGCAAAUGAAUGGAAACGAUAAUUCAAGUUCCUAUUUCUUAUGUUUUAUCCAUAUAGAUAAGCAACAGACAACCUAACUACAAUAUAAAAGGCAAAUAAAUUUAUUCUACUUGUACAUAAAUAGAUCCAACCAAAAUUCAUUCUGUUAUGUUCUUUUGGUCCUUGUUUAUAUACAUAUGUGCAUGCAAGUUUAACAUUUUGCAUAAACUCCUAUUUAUAAAUUGGAUUGGAUACUGGAUAGCAAACCUUUCUUGCCGAAGCUUAUCGAUCUGCACUGGGCUCAGGUUAUUAACAUUAUCAAGCAGGUCAUUUGAUAUAGAGAUUAGUCUAUCUUUCAACUCCUGCAAAUGGCUUGAAGCUUCUGGGCAUAGUUCUAUCUGUAACAUAAGUUGGUAACAAUGAAUUGCUGAACAAAAUAUAAUAGCAGAUAGAACAUUGGAUAAAGAUAUAAUACAAUGUUCGACACCUUGAAACCAUGACUGCAAUUAGUGCACAACUCAUCUGGAUAAUUAGAUUCCUCUUGUCUGGCAACAUUAUCUUUCUCAAUUAUUGGAGUAAUUGGUGGAAGCUUAGAAACUGAAGGUUGAGGUGUGCAGGCUGAUUGUGAUUGGUAUUGUUCAACAAUUUGGUCCACGUCAAUAUUCUGUAACCAAGAGUACCCAAUUCAUGAAAUUUCAAAUCGGAUUCACCGGACAAAACUGUAUGUGUGUGUGUGUAUUACCCGACCCAUAAACUAACUGUUCGUUAUUUUCUAUACAAUAGAGAUUAGAAUUGAGCUGAUUUCAGAAAUAAAAGGUUGUUUCAGAUUACAGAUAAAUGUGGAAAUUUGCCCAGAGAAAUAUAGCUAUAAGUCAUCCCAUAAAACAAAAUGAGUCUAAAUUUGCUUUAUAAUAAAUAAAAGAUCAUAAAUGUGGAUCGAGAUUACCUCUAUUAUCUUGUCAUCCUCAUCCUCCAAAAAAGAGGAACAUAUGUUUUUCUGGUUAGUUGCAAAAAUGACUGAGCCAUCCACCCUCUGGAAAUGAGAAUUAUUGAUCGUCCGCAGUCUGGCCAUAUUAUUCCCAUCUACAUCAUUUUGGCCCUCCAUAACUUGAAUAUUACUUGAUGCGGAAAGAUUUGAUCCGAAACUUGAAGGUUUAGUUGUAUCAACACUGUAUUCACUAAAAUUUCUAUGUACUUUCUUAUGGUGAGAACUAGCGUUGGCAUCAGACAAACUAUUUGAUGUAAUUCUUCCGGUAUCAGCAGGAUGGUCAGAAAAAACAUCCUUAACUUGUCUAGUGUUUCCAGGUUUGGCAUAGUGUCUACAAGAUAUCUGGAAAUUUGAAAGAGCAUUCCAGGCCUGCCAGGAAACACAAGAAAUAAAUUUAUUCUGACUCAAAAUGAGUAUUCCAAGAGUUGCGCUGGACGUAUACAACUCCAAUUUUCACUCUCAUACAAGAAAAAGAGUACAGUUAGAUAAGAAUUAACAAGAAAUAGAAUUGUCAUAACGAUUUAUUUUUACUUUAGCAAUGUUAGUGGCAUACAAAGAUACCUUCACAAAUUGAAGUGUCCAUUCAUGGAGCUACCGUGUUACGAUAUCAAACCCUUAUCUAAAACUAGAGAAGAUUUUUGCAGAAGUGAGAAUAGAAAGAAGCAGGAAAAAAAACUCACGAUGUGAGAAAUAAGAAAUUUUGAAUCAGGUGGAUUUGCCUCCUUAGUCAAAAGCACGGUAAUGCGGUAAAUACUCCAGAUAUAAAUACUCAUGAUAACCAUGAUAAUUCACAUCAGAACUACAAUGGAAAUGAGAACCAACAAUGAAACCCUAGGUCAUGGAGUGAUCAUUGCAAAAAUCAGGAUACAACAAAAAAGUCGCUGGGAUAUUCAUGGUUAACCUCCAGAUUGGAAGUCAAACAAAGGAACUGGAGACAAACAAGGUAGAGCAUAUCAACCAAGUACAUCAUCAAAAGGUAAUGUUACUUCAGAAAAUAAUGUAUUUACUUCAAAAACUUUUUGUACAACCCAAACUUACGCAAAAGCCAUCUGAAGCAAGUGUAGCAUCAAUGGCUCAAUCAGGUACAUCUUUUUGUCUCUUAAUGCAACUACCAAUUUUAGUAUUUGGAUUGUUGAUUAUGGAGUAUUAGAUCAUAUGACAGGUGAUGUCUCUCUUCUAACGAAUUAGGUUGAUUGUACUGACCAACCUCAUGUGAGGUGAGAACUAUUGAUGAGACUUACUCUAAAAUAGUGAGAACUAGCAAUGUCUUUAUCUCUAAAGAUCUCAUCUUAGAAAAUGUCAGCAUGUCCCAAACCUUAUAAGUAAUAUUUCAUCCGUAAGCAAACUUACACUAGUUAAAAUUUUCACUGCAAUAACAUUUCACUCACACAAUCGUACUUUUCAGGAUUGAAUUAGUACACGACAAUUGACAAUGCUAAAGAAUCCUCAGGCCUAUGUCCUGAAUAUUCCUAAGUGCCAAGUUAAGAAGUUAGGUAUGAACAAAUAUUUAAAGACAAUUGUGAUAGUAGAAUAAUAUUGUGGCAUACUCGUUUAGAUCAUCCCAAUAUUUUGUAUUUGAAACUCAUGUUUCCAGAUAUUUAGUAAGAGUUCACAGGUUCUUCAACGUGAGGCAUGUGGCUAAGAAAACUCAAUCUUCAUAUUUGAUAAGCAACUACAAACUCUCUAAUCCUUUUUCUAAGAUGCAUAGUGAUGUUUGGGGUGCAAGUAGAGUUAAAAACCUAACAAGCGCUUAAUGGUUUGUUUCCUUCAUUAAUAGUCAUACUAGACUGACCAGUACUUGGGUGUUUUUAAUGAAAGAAAAAUAUAAGUUUAUUGUCAUAUUUCAAUUUUGUAUGCCACAAUACUCAAUCUCUUCAACACAAUCCAAAUUCUUCACUCUAAUAAUGCUAGGGAUUACUUUAACAUGUCUUUAGAAACAUUUCUAAACAAAAAGGUAUUGUUCACUUACAUACAUGCCCAGAUACUCCCAAACAAAAUGGGAUUGCUGAAACACAAAAUAGACACCUCUUAAAAGUUUCUACAAACUUAACUAUAUGCCUACCAAGAUGCAAAUUGCUAACAUACUCACCAAAGUUCUAUUCCAGAACGUUUUUCAUACAUUGAAGACCAAAUUGGAUUUAAUCAACAUAUGCAAUCUAGCUUGAAGGGGAGUGUUGAAAAUAAGAAAAUAUUCUCCCAUUAAUAUCAUUUGUUUUUUCCUUGUCUAGUAUUUCCUUCUCUCUAAAUAUGCUUCCUUAAUUUUUGCUUUAUUUUUGUUUUUCAGUUUUUGCUUGUAUGUAUUCCCUCCCCUCUUUAAACUGAGAAAUGAAACUCUAUACAAAAUAACAAGAAGAAAUAAACUUAUCUUUUCUUCAUAUCAUAUACAUAAUAUAUAUUUGUAUGUGUACAUAUAUUCUUAGUAUUGGUUGAUUGUUAGGACUAAUGGUUAAUGCUACAUAUAAAGACAAUGUUCCCUGCUUGUAAAUAAUUAUACCAUAAUCGAUGAAAUAACCUACUGCUUUUCCUACCUUCCCACAUUAUGUAUACACUAUUAACUAAGGUAGAAAUAGAUAAGAUUGACAUCAAAUCAUUCCUCUCUCUUUUUUUUUUAUCAACUGAACUUUCAUUGAGAAAAACAAAAGAAUACAAGGACAUUCAAAGAAAGAGCCCACAAAACAGGAGGCAACCAACAAAAAGGCCUCCAAACCAAAAAAUAUGACCAUGUCACACUCCCAGCUUGCCACAAAUUAUUUUUAGUUGCAAUUAACCAUUCUUUUCAUUUACUUUUCUUUUUAAAUGAAGUUGUGAUUUCACCUUUUCAACUUGUGAUCUUUGUAUUCUUUGAAGAUUCUGCAUCUGACAGGCCAAAUUCCUAAACACAAGAAAAGAAAAAACUAAUAAAUCAUGAGAAACUAUGUCUUUCCCGCUUUUGGUAUGGUUUCCUCUAAUUUACUAUAAACUUCAAUAGAUCCUUCCUACAGUUACCUGGAAAGGUCUAAAGUUAUAAGGUCUACUAUCCAAAUCCAAAAGAAACAAAAUUAAAGAUCAAAAGACUGUAAAUAGCUCAGGAGAGGAGCCGAGGCAUGAUGGUAGCCAAUGAGGCUACCAAACAGAAAAAGGGAGGAAGACUGGAGAGAGAGGCAAUCAUGAGGAAUAUAGCCUUUUUAUUUCUUUUGUCACUUGCUUUAAGGUUAAUAACCCUAUUGUCUUUCUAGCCAACGUUUAAUCAAUAAAAUAGCUUUAAUUAUGUCAUUCAAUACAUAGUACAUAGUUAAAAAUAAAAUAUGGGUCUGAGACAUUGAUUGAGAAAAUAAUUAAAGUCAGUAAGAAAUUCGAAAAGUCAGAUCUCUUGCCAUGGUAUGCAUUCAAACAGCAGGGAAAAUAAGCAAUCUCGAAGACCAGUAAGUACCAAUUAACUGGGAAACUUAGUGCAGAAGGGAAAAGAAAACGAACGAUGAAUUAUCAUUGCUUGAUGAAAAUAAGGCAAAGGGUAUGAGCAGUUCGAUAAGGAUAUACGAAAUUUAAGCCAAUUAAUGGGCUAGAUACCCAGUGUCAGUUGAUCCUGUAGUAGAAGGCUUUUGUUCUGGUAAACAGAAAAGAAAAUUCGAGCAUAGAAACUUCUUUUGGCAUGAGAAAUCUUUAUGUGCUUUGGAGUGUUCCAACCAAUUCAUUUUAGGACAUUUACCACCAAAUUUGAGACCGUCGCCUGAAUUGCCUAGACUGCAGCAUACGUAAAUGGAGUUAAACACUAAAUAUAAUACGUAAAGGAGAUGUAAUAAGUAAGUGACAGGGCCGUUACUCUUCUCGCAUGUUUUCUUCCUCGAUACUUCACACGGAUGCCCAAGGAUCGAUGCCCUAAAACACAACAAAACUUCUUAAAAUUUUCCUAUGCAAUUGCAAGUAAGAAUGAAAGAUAGCGAAUGCUGAUUAAACAAUAUAAUGACCAAAAAUAUUGCCGCUUUUAGUUAUGACAUCGCCAUUUUGAAGUUCUUGCGAGUUGGAUGAGGGAUAAAUGGAGACAACAAGAAGUGCGAAAGCUGUACCUAGUGAUCAAACUCGGAGACAAUGAGGAAAUGCAGAGUGAGGCGAAGAAGAAGGUGACGGAAGUGGAUCGUCCGGCGGAUGUGAGGCCCAAAAGGUGAAAGACGAAAUAAAAAACUGGGCGAUCGCCGACGGUGGAUGAGAGCCCCAAAAGUGCAAGUGGUGGAAAAAAUGGCGGGUUACGAUGGCGGGAUCAUAUUCCAUUUCAAUUUUAAUCUAACAAUUUACAAACAAAAUAAAUAAUAGAUAAAUAGACUCAAGUUUAAGGGUGAUUAGGAAAAGUAUGGUGUUUUAAAUUUAAAUUAGGAAAAAAUGGUGGUUUUAAAUUUAUAUUAGAAAAAAAAGGUUGUUCUAAAAUAAUUUAGGUCAAAGGGUUGUUUUUUUUUUCAUUAGUGAAUUUCUUUUUUAUUUAAUUUUUUUAAACAUCAAUUCAUUACUUCUUAUUCUCUCUUUCCUUAUUAUUAUAAUUUUUUUAAUUUUAAUAAUUUAUUAACCAAUUACAUUCUUAAUGAUUUUUUAAUACUUUUUCCACAAAUUCAUAUUUACUAUUAUAUACUUAAUUAUUUUUAACUUAAUUUUGUAAUCAUUUAUUAUUCUUUUUUUUAAAAAAAAAAUCUUUCACAAAUUUAUAUUUACUUACUUUUUUUUAUUUAAUGAUUUUUAACUUAAUUAUUUUUAUAAUAAUUUAUUAUUGCUAUUUUUUUAUUAUGCACUUUCAUGGCACUAUCAUGCCAACCGACGAUGCAACUCUAUCAUGGCAUUCACUGCUUCUCAACUCGACACAUUGAAGAGGGAGAUGGAGAAGGAGAUUCGAUUGACUGAGGCACAUGGAAGAUGGAGAAGGAGAUCUGAUCGACUGCAGCACAUCGAAGAUGGAGAUGGAUGGAGAUCCACACAUCGCAUGUCGAGAUGGAGAUGAAAAUGAAUCCUCUCAAUUGCAAUGCCUGUGAGAAAAUGAAGAUGAUGAAGAUCCUCUCGGCUGCAACACGUCGAAGAAGAUGAAGAUCCUCUCAGCUGCAACACGUUGAAGAAGAUGAAGAUGGAUUCUCGCUGCUGCAACAUAUGGAAGAAGAUGAAGAUGAAUCUUAUCUGUUGCAAUACAUGUGAGAAUGAAGAUGAAUCUUUUGGGCUGCAAAACUUGUGAGAAGAUGAAGAUGAAGAUGAUGACAGCUGUUGUGACACGUCGAAGAUGAAGAUGAAUCUUAUCUGUUGCAAUACAUGUGAGAAUGAAGAUGAAUCUUCUCGGCUGCAACACUUGUGAAAAGAUGAAGAUGAUGACAGCUACUACAAUACGUCAAAGAUGCAUACGAAUCCUCUCGGCUGCAACCCCUGUGAGAAGAUGAAGAUGAUGACGGCUGCUGCAACACGUCGAAGAUGCAGAUGAUGACGACUGCUACAAUACGUCGAAGAAGAUGGAGAUAAAUCCUCUCAGCUGCAAGAUGUCGAAGAAGAUGAAGAUGAAUUCUCUCGACUGCAAUAUAUGUGAAAAUGAAGAUGAAUCCUCUCGGUUGCAACACCUGUGAGAAGAUGAAAAUAAAGAUGAUGAAGAUCCUCUCGGCUGCAACACGUCAAAUAAGUCGAAGAAGAUGAAGAUCCUCUCGACUGCAACACGUUGAAGAAGAUGAAGAUGAAUCCUCGCUGCUGCAUCAUAUGGAAGAAGAUGAAAAUGAAUCCUCCUGGCUGCAACAUAUGUGAGAAUGAAGAUGAAUUCUGAUGUGCUGUUAGUAGUUAGUUUGUUGUUGCUGUUAGUUUGUUACUGUUAUUUGUUUUAAGUAAUUAGUUUGCUACUGUGUUGUUAGUAAUUAGUUUGUUACUGUGCUGUUAGUAAUUAGUUUGUUACUGUUAUUUUUAGUUGACCAUUGGGUUUAAUAUAAUAACCCCAAUUUGUUAGAUUUUGGAUAAUAAUAAAAAAUUUCAGAAAAAUACUUUAGUCUUCUUGAGUUUCUUAGUCCAAGAAUCUGGACUUACAUCUGCAUCUUAGUAUAUAGUAACACUUAUGACGAACACCUAUCACAUCUGCAUAAACUCUUUAAAACACUUCAAGAAAAUAAACUAUGCAUCAAUUUCAAAAAGUGUUCUUUCGUUGUUAAAGAAAUAUACUUCCUAGGUUUUCUCAUAAAUGAAUUUGGGAUAUCAGUAGACCCUAACAAGAUAAAGGCAAUUAAAGAUUGGACACAACCAAGAACUGUAAAAGAAUUGCAAAGCUUCCUUGGGCUUGCUUCCUUUUAUAGAAAAUUUAUUAAGAAUUUCAGCACGCUUGCAUCCCCAUUAACGAAAUGUUUAAAGAAAGGAAAAUUUGCUUGGACUAACUCUCAAACUCAAAGCUUUAUGUUAUUAAAAGAUAGGUUAUCCAACACACCAGUUCUUGCACUACCGAACUUCACACAACCGUUUGAAGUGACCGUUGACGCAUGUGGAAAUGGAAUAGGUGUUGUCUUAUCCCAACACAUUCACCAAUUGAAUACUUUAGUGAAAAGCUAAGCGAGGCAAGGCAAAAAUGGAGCACCUAUGAACAAGAACUAUACUCUCUAGUAAGAGCUUUAAAGGGUUGGGAACACUACCUCUUAGGGCAAGAAUUUAUUCUAUUCUUCGACCAUUUAUCACUCAAGUAUUUGCAAACACAAAAAAAUAUUAGUAGAAUGCAUGCUAGGUGGCUCUCCUUCAUUCAACGUUUUAACUUUGUGAUAAAAUAUAGGGCUGGUAGUACCAAUGUAGUAGCGGACGCCCUUAGGUGGAAAGCCAACCUACUCACUAUUCUAAAAUCCCAAGUAGUUGCAUUUGAUUCCUUGCCCAAUCUUUAUAAAGAUGACCCCGAUUUUGGUUAAAUUUUGUCUCUUUGUGUUGAUCAUGUCAAUUGUAAUGACUUCCACUUAACUAACAAUUUUCUCUUCAAGAAUAAUCUUCUUUGCAUUCCUAGAACAUCCCUUCGUGAAGCCUUAAUUAAAGAGCUUCAUAGCAAUGGUCUUGCGCGACAUUUUGGCAUAGACAAAACUUACCAAUUAUUGAGUGAUAGGUUUUAUUGGCCCCAACUCCGCUGAGACGUUACCAAGACAGAUAAGCACUAUUUUACGUGCCAAACUGUCAAAGGGCAGCAGCAGAAUACCAGACUGUAUACACCUCUACCUAUUCCCGAAGGCAUUUGGGAAGACUUGUCCAUGGAUUUUAUCCUAGGGCUACCUAAAACACAAAUGGGGUAUGAUUUUGUCCUUGUUAUUGUUAAUCGAUACAACAAAAUGUCUCAUUUUUUGCCUCGUAGAAAAACAUCGAAUGUCGUUUACAUUGCUAAUCUGUUUUUUAAAGAAGUGGUACGGCUACAUGGAAUCCCCAAGUCCAUCGUUUUCGAUAAUGAUGUCAAGUUCCUAAGUCACUUUUGGAAGACACUUUAAAGAAAAUUUAACACAACGCUUAAGUUUAGCACCACUAGCACCCCCAAACAGAUGGGCAAACCGAGGUUACAAACAGGACGCUUGCCAACCUCAUAAGAUGCAUUGGAGGGGAUAAGCCUAAGCAGUGGGACCUUGUCCUAGCUCAAACAGAAUUUGCAUACCAUCACAUGAGAAACAGAACAACAGGGAAGUCUCCAUUUGAAAUUGUGUAUACUAAGCUACCUAGACUAACUAUUGAUCUUACUAAUAUACCUCAUAAUGUUGAUCUUAGCUUCGAAGCUGAAAAUAUGGCGAAAAGAAUAGCAAAGCUCCACAAAGACGUAACCACCCAAAUGGAAUAGAUGAACCAAGCAUACAAAAGUCAAGCCGAUAAAUAUCAAAGAUUUAAAGAAUUCAAGGAAGGAGACCUAGUAAUGAUACAUCUUUGAAAAAAGAAGACUGUCGGCUGAAAAAUACAAUAAACUACCGCCAAAGAAGUUAGGACCGUAUCCCAUAAUCAAGAAAUUCGGAGAUAACGCGUACAAGAUUUAUCUUUUCGAUCACAUACACAUCAAUCCUAUCUUCAACAUGGUUGACAUAUUUGAAUAUUUCUCUCUCGAUCAGCUACAUUUCUCAAACUAGAAUUCGAGGACGAGUUUACUCUUCUUAAGAGGGAGGGAUUCUAAUGUGUUGUUAGUAAUUAGUUUGUUCCUGUUGUUAGUUUGUUAUUGUUGUUAGUUUGUUACUGUUAUUUGUUUUAAGUAAUUAGUUUGCUAUGUGCUGUUAGUAAUUAGUUUGUUACUAUUGUUAGUAUGUUACAAUUAUUUUUAGUUGACCAUUGGGUUUAAUAUAAAAACCAUAGUUUGUUAGAUUUUGGAUAAUAAUAAAAAUUUCCAGAAAAAGACUUUAGUCUUCUUGAGUUUCUUAGUCCAAGAAUCUGAACUUACAUCAAAUUUUCUCGGCUGCAACACAUGUGAGAAGAUGAAGAUGAUGACAGCUGUUGCAACAUGUCGAAGAUGCAGAUGAUGACGGAUGCUGCAAUACAUCGAAGAAGAUGGAGAUGAAUCCUCUCAGCUGCAACAAGUCGAAGAAGAUGAAAAUGAAUCCUCUCGAAUGCAACAUAUGUGAGAAUGAAGAUGAAUCCUCUCACCUGCGACACGUGGAGAAGUUUGAGAUGAAUCCUCUUGGUUGCAACACAUGAGAGAAGAAAAUCCUCUCAGACACAACACUUGGGAGAAAAGAUAGAGCUCUCUAAUUUGACUUUGCCCCAUUUCUUUUCUUUUGUAACUGCUUAUGAAUUUCAUUUUCUAUUGAGAUUAAAAAAUCACGAUGAAGCAUAAUUUUUUUUUUGUGCGACUGAACUUAAAGUAAAUUGUAAGUUGCCUAUGUACCCUUUUUAUAACAUAGGGAUCAAAUCAUAACGUAAUUCAAUUGAUUUUUUUUUUUUUUUGUCAUUCAUCUUUUAAGCUCCUAUGGACUAGGAGCAUCAUGCAGUUUAAACUCUUGCGAUAAGGAGCUUUGCACAUUUAACAACUUUUAUUUUUAUUAAAAUUUUGUUCACCUUCUUCAUUUGUAGAAUUGGUCAAUAUAAUAAGUUUAGACUUCACGAUCAAGGGACCUUCUAUGUUUAUGUCAACAAACAUCUUCCUCUUCAUGCGUGAUGGGACAUGAUUGUGAAUCUUCUCGUCAUUGUUUUCUCCAUGAAGUGAUUUUGCCUUCAAAGUUUUCAUCUCUUUUUCAUGUUGAUCGCUUGUCAUCUUUAGUUGAUCAAAAACAGAUGUUGAAGGUUGAUCUUUCUUCGAUAUGGAGAUAUUAGUCUUUCGAAAACUGAAGUGCGAGUGGAAGUACAUGUUGGACAUUGGUUUUCUACUUCUUUCGUGGCCAUACUCAAUCUUUGAAAGACUAAAGAUCGAGUAGUUGAAGGCUUGAUACGAUCAAAGAUCGAAGUCCUUUGCUUAAUUUCAUUUGAGUUGUCGACUUCUUUAGAAGAUGCAUAAUCGUUGUCGAUUUCAUUUAUACUGACAGCAUGACAUUCAGUGACUUCUAAUACUUCCUUGGGAUGAUCAUCAAGAAAACUUCUUGGGAGAUUCUCUCAAAGUUAUCGAUCGUUGAGGUCGGAGGAAGUGCUCGUCUUUUUCUUUGACAGGGUUAAGCUUCCAUGUCUUUUUGUUUCUUUUUCCUUCUUUUUAUGGGAUAUGUUUCCUUUUGCAUGCUUUUGAUGGAAUGUCGACUUCUUUUGAAUGAAAUUUGGUUGUCUUCCUUUUUGACGACUCAUAACUAUCCAUCAUUCGUCACCAUCUUCAAUAGGCUUUUCUUUGUUUUGGGAGUCUGUCGUCACGAUCGUUUGUGGGAAUUGGACAACUAUAGGUUCAAAAGUCCCAAACUGAAUUAAGCUUUUCUUUUGAUCAUAAAGUUGUGUUGAUGGUGGAACACUUGAAGUCAUCUCAACCGCAACAUGAUUCGUCUCAACUAAUUCAUCAAUAUCCAGCUCGAUCUUCUUUUCACGGGCCAACUUUAGACUCAACUCCUUCAACAUGAAAUACUUUCCAACAAGGUGACUAAUGACCCGAUAGUAGUUACAGUAUUUAGGAUAAUCUACUUUUUCCUGUUUGUUCCAGUCGUUUGCAUUCUGGCAACUGAAUAAGUCGCUUCUCUAGUAGCUGCUCUAACAUGUCUGCAACAUCAGAGUCAGGAAAUGGAUAAACUUUUUUCUGUCUUUCUUUAAGAGUUGGGCAUUGCUUUUCCUCACCAUCAUGCUUUCCUUCAAUUUUUGUUUCUUUUCUUUUAAAGAAGGAUUUCAAAGGAGUUGCAUGAACAAGCAUAGACUCAUUUAUGAGACUAUUUGCAAUCUUCUUAGUGUCAUCAAUUUUAUCCUUCUUACUCCUCAUUUUUGGAACCAAUAAAUCUUUUGCUCCUCUGCAUGUGAUACUUAGUUCCAUAUCAUGGACACGACUCGCUAACUCUUCAAACUAUAGAGAAGUUUCCAAAUGCAUGCAUUGGGUGCACAUCUCAACUGCAAACAUUUCUAUGAGCUUGUCUUUGCAAUCCAGGCUUAGAGCUCUCCAUCGAUUUAUGUAGUCGAUGAUUGGUUUCCCCUUUUGUUGUUUGGUGUUUGUCAACUCCAUCAUGCUGACGAUACGUCGAAUGCUGUAGAAGCGAUUGAGAAAGUCCCCCUCAAGCUGCUCCCAACUAUCAAUGGAUUCAUGUUUCAGGUCGAUGUACCAGUCAAAAGCAUUUUCUUUCAGAGUUUGAACGAGUUGUUUUACCAAUAAAUCUCCUCUCGUACUAGCAGUUUCACAUUUUUCAAUGAAGUGAGCAACGUGUUGUCUUGGGUUACCCUUUCCAUCAAACUGUUGGAACUUGGGUGGUUGGUAUCAAUUCGACAUUUUGAGAUUGUCGAUCCUCUUCGUAUAUGGUUUGGAAUACAAAGUGAGAGUUUGAGCAGGUCCACCAUAUUGAGUUUUAAUGGAGUUUGCAAUCAUCUCCUGUAACUGCUGAACAUACAACGAUGCAAUUAAGGUUGAAUUUUGUGGUUGAUUUUCUUGCAUAAUUGUCUUUCCUUUGUCAGUAUUCUUGACAGUAUGUGUAUGACUUGAUUCAGCAGCAUCACGACGAUCGAUGUAAUUCUUGAGAGAUUAAAUCUCAUUAUCCCUUUCUUCAACGACCUUCAUGAGCAUGUUGAUCUUCUUUUCAAGCUCAGUCAUUUUGUCUUCACUUGUAUCCACGUUAGUCAGCAUAACCGACAUUAUAUUUAGAUGAGGCAUCUUCUCAUUUGAGUGUUCAGAGGAUGAAAUUUGUUCCUCAAUCAUAGGAUUUUCUUUGAUUAUAAUUCCACCUUUUGGUGGCUUGGCCAAUUGUUUCCAAAUUUUCUUUACGAUCUCAAAUGAUGGCAUUUCUUCAGAUGAUUGAAUCUCCCUUGAGCGGCUGCAAGUAUUUGGCUGCUUGCCGAUGUCGCUUGGAACUUUGGAAGUGUUGUCUUGAAAUGUCAUGAUUUCUUUAUAGGUUAUUCAAAAGAGAAAGAGAUGAAAGGUAAAGUUUGUCCCACCGGGCACACGAACUUGCAUGUCUUGAGAGCUUGUAGAAGUUUGAAUCUUCAAUUCUUUAGGGCUUCAAUACUUCAGAGCUUCAAUUCUUCCUUCAACCAAAAGAUCCCCAAAAAUGAAUGACAAGGGUCUCUAUUUAUAGAGAAAUUUUAUGGGCUUUAGGUGGACUUAGGCUCAUUUACUUGGUGGGCUUGGACUUGGGUCCAUUUGCUUGUUGGGCUUGGACUUGAGCUCAUUUGCGAGUUGGGCUUGGACUUUGGUUCAUCUGCUUCUUGGACUUGGACUUGAGCCCAUUUGUUUAUUGGAUAUGAAUUGGGUUGGGUUGAGCAAACUUAAUUAUCCAAACUCAAACAAAAGUUUAAUCAUCACCAUAUUUACUGCGGUGAUGUGAUAUAAUUUAAUUGGUCAAAAUUUCUUGCUCAAGAACAAUGAUUAAUAAAUCAUUUAAAAUUAAAUACUAUAACAAUAAAAAAGAAGGAGAGAGAAUAAAAAUAGGUGAAUUGAGGUUUUAAAAAAUUAAAUAAAAAAAGAAUCCAUUAAAUGACAAAAAAAACAACCCCUUUUGCCUAAAUUGUUUUUAAACCAUCCCUUUUUUCCAAUUUAAAUUUAAAACCACCAUACUUUUCUAAAUCAUCCCGAGUCUAACGUAUAACUCAAUUCAGACAUGAGUGUCGUUAAUGGUGAAAGGCUUGGAAGGUUUUAUGGUUCAAAGUUUUUCUAUUUUCUUAUUAAAAAAAUAAAAAUUUAGCCACCAUGAGCUUAACUCAACUGACACAUGUAUGUUCCUGUGGACAAGAGGUCCCGGGUUCAAAUCCUUACCCCAACAUUUAUUACAAUACCUUUGCAAAAAAAAAAAAAUCUAUACAUUUUAUAAAAAAUGAUUUUCUAUUUUGUGUACCCUCCCAAACAUUUGGAGGGCGUUUGGGAAGGGUCAAUGUUAUGAUAGUGUGUAUUUGAGGGAAGGGUCAUGUAGGAAGGGUUAUAGGGUGGGUAUGAUAAUACGUGUUUGGAGAAGAGUUAGGUUGGAAGGAUUAUUGGGUGGUUAUGAUAAGAUGAGUUUGGGAGAAGAGUAUUAUUCUAACUUCAAUACACAAAUUUCGUAUACUUAAUUGACCAAAUCAUCUUAGUUUUUGUAAAACAAUUUGUCUUACUUUCUUUAAAUACGACUUGAAAGUUUUAACAUUUUUUGAAGUAAUUGUUACGGUUGAAUAAAUUACUGUUUUUCCUUUUAAACAUAAAAUAUUAUCAAUCUUCUUCUUACCUAAACAUUCUUUUUUUUUUUUACUUUACUCUUUUUAAACAAAGGAUUGUUAUUUCAUAAGGCAACAAAAAUGAUAAAAAAAAAUGUUAUAAUGAAUUAAUGAAAGAUAUAAAGAUAAGGAAGAAGAAAGAGAAAAAAAAGUACAUUUUAGAAAAGUAUGAGCAUAAUUUGGUAAAACUUUUAGAUUUAAAAUUGAAUUCAAAUAAAUCUUAAAUCAAAUCUAGCUGUUAAAUUGAUUUUUUUAAAGAAUUUUUUAUACAUUUAAAGUUUAAAUACGUUUUAAAAUAUUUAUUCAUUUUUCUAGAUGAUUUAAGGAUUCUAGAAUUAUUCAAUUUAAUAUUAAACCAUCUAAUUUGAUUUUGUUUUGAUUAUUUUAUAAAUUUAAUCAAAUUCAUUUUUUAAGAAAUUCAUUUAACUUAAGUUUAUCAUAAAUAGUGUAGAUAUAGAUAGAAUAGUUUUAAAAUAAAUUAUUUGAAAACAUGUAAAAUAAAAAAUAAAAAAUAAAACAAAUAAAAGACAUGAAAGAAUAUUUUUUAAAAAAAAAUUAAAUAUGAGGCUGAAGGCAUAAACUAAUCACAAUUAAUAUUUAAUUAAAAUUAAUUUUAUAAAUAAAAUAAGUUAAAAACAAUAUUCUUUUUAAGUUUAUUAAUUAAUGUAAAAAAUGACAUUUGAUAAAUAAAUGAGUAAAAUUUAAAAAAUAAAUGAAAUAAGGGGAGUUGAAGAAAUAGGGUUUGGGUAGUUGAAGAGGGAUUGAGAAGGAAGAGAGAGAGGGAAGAGGGGUUAUGAUAGUCCUAAAACAAAAAUUAUGAUAAUCCUUCCCCCAAACAAGGGUUGGGUUCAUAACCAUAACCCCAUAGUAAUAACUCUUGGGCCACACGGCCCCUUAAAGGCCACAAUGAGUGUACGAGACUACAUGGUGAUGAAGUUGGCUUAUGUGUUGAAAGGAGCGUAUAAUGCUUAACAACCUGAGCAACAAGGAUGAAUCAAGAUACUCUUGGAUGCUGAUGAUUCAAUAGUCUAAACGCGAAGUUACGUGACCUAGUGUAGAGAGUGAUUCAUAAUCCUUGACAAAAUGAAAUGAUUUGUUAAGCAUAAAGAAAAGUUUAUGUGAAAUGAAAUGAUUUGUUGAUGUGUUUAAAUGACUUGAUAUUACUUUUGCGAAAUGUUUAUGAAAACGUAUUGCGAAAGGUUUUGAUAAAACCUCACUAAGUCUUUUGACUGACGUUUUUUUUUUAAAAAAUCAUAUCUUACAGGAUCAGACGUUUAGGCCAAUAAGAGAAGAAGGUUGAACAAUUUGCAACGAGAUGACUUCGUGUGUUUUGAAAAUAGUUAAGCAUAAUUUAUUUGGUCAAAGUGUUUUAUUUAUGCAUCAAACACCUGUUAUUAAUAAAAUUAAGUUACGACUUCCCCUGUGUUACAUUAUCUUUAUAACUUAGUAGUUUAAAAGGAGUUGGGAAUAAAAUUAGCAAUAAGACCUAUAGCAAAGUUUAAGCUAAAUCACGUCCUAUCCGCUUUACUUCCUGCAUUUUGGUUGUCUUACAGAUUGGGGUGUGACACAGCACUGGUCGCCAACUGCUCAAGAGAGUAAGUAGCAACAACAUAGUUAAACAUGCGCCGAAGAGAGUUUGGAAGCAAACUUCAUUUUGGUGUUUUGACUCUAGUCAUUUGUGUCUAGAAAGGAGAACAAGUGUGGUGUUUAGGGUUUAAGAGGUUGCUCGAGUUAAAUAUAGAGUCAAAUAUGAUGCUUAUAAGUAAGGAAACCUAGAUGUAUAUCGCUUGGUUUAUCUUUACUAUUCUCUAAAUUAAUUACAAAACACAAUUCCAUAAUCUCACAAGUAUCAGCCCCACACGUAGAUGCGCUAAGUGUGUUUUGUAAUAAUUAGAGUGGCUUGAUACUCGUGAGAUUAUGGAAUUGAGUUUUGUAAUUAAUUUAGAAAAUGUGAUCAUAUUUAGUUGUGAAGUAUACCAAAAUCUACCAUUUUAAUAAUUUUUAAUAGUUUUAGAGUUUCUCAAGGAGAUGUUGGGCAACCUUGUUAGUAGAAAAACUUUGUUACAAGUUCUUAAUAUUUGCUUAAGUGAGAACAAUUCUUUUCAGUUCGCGGUUAUUAGGUUUGAAGAGGAUAUAUGAUCAUUCAUAUAGAUUUCCAGAAGAGAAAAUAGCUUUGAAAUCAACACUCUCUGACACAUUAUAAGGACAACUUCAAAGCAUCUAUUUCUUAACCUUACUUUCAUGUCCUCAUAAUUAUAAUCCCUUUGAUUCAGAUGUGAUAUCGAUUCAUUCAUUUCUUCCUCCUAAACUCAUGGUGUUACACCUUCUAUUGAAUUAUGCCAAGUAUAAAUCUAUUGUUAUCAUUCUUUAUUCUCUUUAUUAUCUUGUUUCCUAAUUCUGCUGGCACUUAUGUAUAAAUUGGGGAUUCUAACACUUGAAUAAGUUAUCUAGAAAUUAUGGAUUUACACUUGGCAUAAUUCAAUAGAAGAUGUAACACCAUGAGUUUGAAUAAGCUAACAAAAAAAAUUAGCUUAAAUGGUCUAUAGUACAAAGAUAAGGUUGGGUACCUUAUCCUAAUAACACUAUGGAUACGACUCACUUUGUAUUUGAAACAAACGCAAUGAUCGAACGCAUUCUUGUAAGUGACAUGCGAGUGAAGUUAUCUUAUGGAAUAAGUUUGCAUAAGAUCAGAUCGCGAAAUAGUAACCACUAGAUAUAACUCUACUAACUAGUUAGGUUUCUAUUUUAUUAUGAUGACCUAUGUAACUUAGCCUUAAUCCUAAGUGUAUUAUGAAUUCAUAUUCAUAAAGCAUUGUCCUUUUAUUUGUACGGAUGACCAUAAACAUGUUGUUAAUUAGAUGAGCACUGGUAUUUAUGGACUAGAAGUAACCUAGGGGUAAAACGGUAAUUAAACAUAGAUGAUGUUAUGAACACUUCUGAAGGACUAACUUACUAUAUUUAUAUCCAUGAACACAUAAAUAUAUCUACACUGAGAAAAAUUUAGUUGUGAAUCUUUAGUGGAGUGUACACAUAGUUAACGAACAUUGAUUAAUAUGGUAAUGAGUAUAGCCAAUUAAUCUCAUGUCGUUGUAGUUUCUAAUCUAUAGAUCCAUUAGGUCCCCUUCCUAAAUUGUAAAGGAUAAUGAGAGUUAUUUAUAUUGAUUGUAAUUCAAAAUGUUCAAAUUCACUUUGUGAAUUAGUAUAAUGUAUGGUGAUAAAUUAUAAUAUAAAAUUUAUAUUUUAAUUAAACUUUAUUAUAUAAAUUUAAUUUGGAUAUGAUUUAAAGUUAAUUUAUGAGAAAUAAAAUAUUUAAAUGAGUUCAAAUAUUAAUUUAAUGUGAAUUAGGUUCAUAUUAAAAUUAUUGGUGAUGACAUAAAUUUAUAUUUGAAUAUGAUUCAAAUUUGAAUUAAAUUAAAUAUAAGAUAUUUAAUUUAGAAAUUAAUUAAUUGGAGAAUUAAUUUAUAGUUUAAUUUUAUUUUAUUUAAUUAAAUCUGAUUUUAUUAAAUUAAUUAGAUUAAAACUAUAAGAUAUAUGAGAUAUAUUCAUUAAAUAUGAUUUAAAUCAAAUAUUAAAUAAUUAAUUAAUUUGAUAUUUCUAUUAAUUUAAUAUUUUUUAAAUCAAUAGAAUCUCAUGAUUAUCUCAUACUCAUUGAAGAAUAGAGAGUUAUAAAUACACAGAAGAAAAUAGGUUUUUUAACCUGAGUCUUUGCUUACGAAUUGUCUCAGAAAUUCUCUCAAAACUUUUUUUCGUUCCAAUUGGUUUCCACAAACCAAUCUCAUCUUAGACGAUAGGAAGGUCUACGAUUAGUAGUAUCCCCAAUUCGGUGAUUUGCAGAUUUAGAGACAUCAUCGAAAGUAAGUUACUCUAUUAUGUAAUUCUAUAAUCUAAAGUUUGUUGAGCAUGUUUAACAUGAGUCUAAAGUAUAAGAAAAUUUGUUUAUGUAAUUGUUUGCCAUGUACGGUAUUUUAAGUUCUAAAUUAAAUUGCUCUAAGAUCUCUGUAAAUUUUUUUACUGUCAUGGGCUUUAAUCCCUUCAUGGUGGUCAUAAGAUGAGUAAGAAGUGGAAGCAAAACUCUUCUUAGGGGACUUGGGCUUGCAGCCCCAACCAAGAACUUUUGACUAGUCUGAUCGUCUACCCAAAACAGUCUUGCAUAUCUGUCUUCAGAGAAUGGUUGAGAACCCUCUGGGACGAGCUAGGACUAAAGUUCCAGCAUUUGAUACUACACAAUACAAGCUGUAAGUUGGGAGAUGAUAAGAAUUAAAAUAGAAAAUAUAAUAAAAAGUUUUCAUAAACUUGUAUGCACAUAUGCUGCUGCUUGCGAAAUGAACUCGUCAGUUCUACCAGUGCGUUUCUCAGUAACUCAACACGGUCGAUCGAGCAACCGCAUUCUACAGUGAGCUCAACCUGUCGUUGAAGGAAUGACUUGGAUUCGCUUCUAUGGUUGUAAGGUUGCUUCGUUCUAGCAGCCUUACAAACCUUUGAUUCUUCCUACAUUCAAACAAUGAUCAAAAUGUUAUUUUCAAACAACAAAUUAAAUGAAGUAUUGUUAAUUGAUUUUAAGUGGAUGACAUAAAUCACCUGAAAUUGUGCGGUCAUGUAAUGAUGUCAAAGAAAGUGUCAAUUUUGCCCGUGAUUGACCAAUCUGAGAGGUGGGUUUGCACAUGCUUCUUUAAGGUUGAUGUACUUCUUAAAAUGUUGGUGGGUGUUUCCCCUGAAUUGCUAUCACACUUGAGCAUCUGAUGUUCAACAAACCAAUUAAGUGUUGGAUCUUUGAGAUCGAGCACAAAUCAUUGAUACAAAAGAAAUAGGUUUGAGAUUAGUCUUUUACAUAUAUAGAUUCAACAUAUAUAUAUAUAUAUUAAAAAAUUUACAAACUUACUGUUAGGCCGCCUUGACGACCUCAAUGUGCACUUGAGGUACAUAUGUUCACCUCAAGGCUUGGACAAAAACGUGUCUCGCGUUAACAUACCAAUUGUGCAAUUGAAAUGAGGGUUGUGUCGCAUGACAUGCAUGUCCCAUUCUAGGGGAUGAAAUAGGGAUCCUUCCAUUAUAUUGUACAUACCUCUCCAACUCAAUGUUAUAGGAGUGGAAUCGUCUCCUCAGAGUGAAUGUGGGAGGGGGUUAAGAGGGAUCUACUACAAAACACAUUUAAUUAAAUCUAGUAACCAUAACUACAAGUGUUUAGGGUAACAAGACUAACCUGAAGUGUCACCCACCAAAGAAGAUCCUUUCGCUUUAUCUACGCGUCCAAGUUUAGGUACACAUCUACCUCAUGAAUACCAAUGGAAAAUGACAGCAUAAUUUUUGUAAACAAAAACCAGCAAACGUUAAACAAAUUUAAAUGUCAGUAUUGUAAAUGACCAAAUCUAUAGAAAAAUGACUAAUGUGUAUACGUGAAGAAGAUAAUAUUAUUCAUUGUCGCUUGAUCCGCUUUGAUGCGAUGAUAAUUGUUCAUCAUCAUCAUCUAUGAAGUCAUCUGCGACAUGAUGCACAUCCAAUCUUUCCAAUACACAUUAAGUUGAUCAACUUCAGUCCUGUACAGAGUGACCUCCUCAAUAAUAUGUUCGUCCACACGAUGUUCGACGAUGAUUUCCAAUACAUUAAGUUGGUCAUUCUCGAUAUCUUCCAUUUUUGGCAUGUCUCAUACACGUUUAUUUUGUACCACUUGGUACCAUUUUUAGGGCCCUCGAGGUAGAAUACUUGAUGUGCCUGGAUUGCGACAAUCAUCGAUUCCUCAACAAACAAAAAACGAGACAUAUUUAUUGAUUUUUAGCCUAGUUCCACGUGCGCCCUAUGACUUUUGUUGGUGUCUGUGUCAAACCAUUUACACUUUAAUACCAAGCAUGUAGUUUAAAUGAAUAUUGAACGUGCAACACUUCAUCCAAAACAUCGUAGAAAUUGUUGUCGGCACCUUCACUACCUUCAUCGACUACCACGACUCCACUGUUUUGUGUUGUAUGUCGAGAAUCACGUUCGAAGGUGUGAAAAUGUACACCACCGAUAACACAUCCACUGUAAGAGCGAACCUCAAGUGAAGGUUCUAUUGCAAGUGAAAAGAAAUCUUGAGAAAGGUUUGAACUCCCACACAUUUUUGUUAUAGCCUAAAAUGCAUGUACAUGAAUAGUUAUAUAUAAAAUACAAAGUAGCACAUGUACGAAUUCUUGAAUUCAUUUACUCUGUAUACCUGAGCUUUGAACCAAUCAGGAAAUGUUCAUGGAUGUUUUUUAAAAUUUUUAAAAAUGGUAUCACACUGACAACAUAUCAACCUUAGGUGUUUCCUAAAAUACAUAAUUGUGAGUUUUAUGACAACUGUAACAAAGACUUAAGAUAUUGAAUGGAAGGUAUGAAUUGAAGUUAGAAAUGUGUACUUGCGGUAGUCUGCUAUUUCAUCCACAUUGUUGAGGAUGUACCAAUGAAAGAGUUGGUUCUCUUCCUGUGAUAUGCUUAAAAAAGGUGACGCUCAUAAUGGUCGUACCUUUUGAACGAACACUUCGAACUAACCAAUCACCUCAUCCUCUGGAAUUCUAUCAUCCUUUUGUUCAUCUCUAAUAAAUCGGAUCUCAGUCCCACUGAGAUACCUCGAAUAAAAAGUCUCUGAUUCGUUCAUCAGAUAUCCUUCUGCAAUAGAUCCCUCAGGACAUGCUCUAUUACAAACAUAUUGUUUAAUGUGCGGAGACUUCUUUUAAUGGAUACAUUCAACUGUAAGAAAUCGGACCAACAACCUUGGUUUCGUAUGGUAAGUAAACGAAAAGGUGUACCAUUACGCUGAAAAAAACAUGUAAGAAUAUUAUUUUCAAUUUGCACAGUAUGAUUAUGAUAUAUGCCUGCAAUCUUCCCAAAUCACUUACUCUUAUCGUUCUGGCGCACAAAUCAUGAUAAAAACUACAUAGUUCAGUAAUAGCAGUGUAGACAUUUCUCAAUAAGAAUGGUCGAACACCAAUUGAUAUAAGUUGAUGUAACAAAAUAUGAUAGUCGUGCAUUUUGAAACCUAAUAUUUUUCUCUCGCCUUUAUUCACACAUCGUGAAAUAUUAGAAAUAAAUUCGCUUGCUGCUAGUCAACGUAUAACUCACAUGUGAUUUCACCAAUCUGUUACCAACUUCUAUCAAAUGUAAAUCCUUUCUUAUUAUUAAAUCUUGUAGAUUCAAUCAAGCAUUCGUGGUAUCCUUGGUUUUUCCUUCGAUAUUCAACAACGUACCGACCAAGUUGUCAUAAACAUUCUUUUCAAUAUGCAUUACAUCAAGUUUGUGAUGAAUAAGUAGUCUCUACCAGUACGGAAGAUUGAAAAAAAUACGUUUCUUAGUUCAAUCAAGAGCACCCUUUCUUUUCCUAUCUUUUAACAAAGGAUGCUUACUCAUAACUGGAAACUCCAACGGAUCUAGUUGUUCCAAGAUUUUUUUGUCAUUCAUUACCACUAGAGGUGUUUUACUCUAUACUUUUUCAUUAUGUAGCCUACUUCUACUCCAAAUGUGGUUAUCUAAAAGAUAGCAUCGAUGUUCCAUGAAAGCUAUUUUUCCUCUUAUCUCAAACAACGAUAUAUCUCCCAUGCAAAUGGGACAUGCUUGAUACCCCUUCGUAUUCCACCCAGAUAGGUCACCAUAUGUCGGAAAAUCAUUCAUUGUCCACAACAAGGUUGCAUAUAGCUGAAAACACUAAUUCAUAAGACAAUCAUACGUACACAUACCAAAAGUCCAUAACAUUUCAAUUCCUAAAUCAAUGAUUGUAUGUACACGUUAUUUUCCAUACCAGGAGAUUUUGGACAAAGAAUGAGCAAUGACAUGAAGAAGUUUGACUCUUUCAUGCAUUUUCAUGGGGGCACAUUGUAAGAAAUUAACACCAUAUGCCACAUACUGUACGAGAUACUCAUAUGACCGAACAUAUUAAAUCCAUCUAAAGCUAACCCCAAAUGGACAUUUCGUGGUUCUAAAACAAAAUCAGAAAAUUCAUAAUCAAAGUGCUUUUAUCCCUCUACAUCAGCUAGAUGUCUCAACACAUCAUCUGUUUCACUCGUUUAUCCUUAUGUCAUCUCAUGUCUGUCGAGCAUUCUUGCGAUACAAACAACCACUGUAAUCUUGACACUAACGAAAAGUAGUGCAAUACUUUUUGUAGAAAAUUUUUCCCUGAUCUCUUAGAACUAACCUUGUACCGAGACUCACCACAAGUCAGACACUGUUGCAAAUCUCCAAACUCCUUCUAGAACCAUACACAUUCAUACUUGUAGGCAUGAAUAGUUUCGUAUUUCAAGCGCAACUCACACAAUUUUCGUUUUCCUGCAUAGAAUGAACUACGUAUAUUGGUACCACAUAUUGGAAACACAUGUUUUAUCAUCUUUAACAUCGUGUUGAAGAACUUAUUGCUCCAACCAUUGAGGACCUUCACGUGCAUCAUCGCGACCAAAAAAUUUAGGGAAGAAAAUUUUGAACGGCUGGGGUAUAGUUCACAUCUUGCUUGGUUUAACAACUUCUUAAAUACCACAUUUAUUCUAUUUUCUUCUAAACCUACCUCACUAUUAAAUGACAUGUCAUUCUCCAAACCUUUCUUCAUCUCUUCUACAUGUUCAAUAUCAGCUUGCAAAUCAUGCAACAUGCCCAACAUUUCAUUUUCUUUAGAAAAUGUGUUACUACUAGUUCCUUGAUCAUAAGGAUUACAACUACUCGUUCCUUCAUCAAGUCUAUGCAUAGCUCUAUGUAAAUUCAUAGUCUCUCCAUGAUACAUCUGGUAUAUGUAGAAGGAGGCCAUUUCAGUGGUUAAUAGAUGUCACUCCACACCCUCUAAUGAGUCCCCAUUCGAAUUCAUACAUCUAUUGCAUAACCUUAUUUUUACAUAAUUAUUGACAUGGUAUUUUGCAACCUCUAAAAAUUGGAAAACUCCUUUUUUGUACUCAACCAAAAACUUAUUCCUAAAUUUCAUCUAACUUUUGUUCAUCUCGUUAAAAGAACCUAAAACAUAAAUAGGUUGGAUUAGUUUUAUAUCUCUCAUCUCAAAUACUUCAACUUACUCCACGAACAAGCUAUAUUGUCCAAUCCCCCAUCUUGCACUAAAAUUAAGUUUAAAUCUAAACUAAGUUUAAAUCUACCUAACAGUUCCAACAUACCUAACACUUCAUAAACACUUAAUUAAAAACUACAUAAGAAUCCUCAACACUACUAACAUAUUAGAAACUAAUUUUGACAUAAAAAACUAGGCUACCAUAAUUGCAAGAUAUUCAUAAAAUAACGCAACCACAGAUUAUGUCAAUGUUUUCAAUUAAAUAUCUGACAUUUUCAAAAAUUCAAAUUCGAAUUGAAUUUAAAUAGAAAUUCAUAUUCAAAUUAAAAUUAAAAAUUCAAUCUCAAAUUCUAAAAACAUACAUUACACAUACAUUAUAUAAUAUGAAUUUACACAUACAAUCUCAAAUUUACACAUACAAUCUUAGACAAUCUCAUACAUUCCACAUGAAAACAUACACUAUAAUACAUUACCCAUAAAAUCUCAAAUUCAAAUUACACAUAAUAUCAAUGCACACAUUACAGAUACAUUUUUCUAAUACAUACAUUAUAUAAUGUUUACAUUUACUUUUAUAAUUUUUUUUAAAAAACUAACCUUGCUUUGUAGGAUGGUGGGGGUUGACGACGAGGGAGGACAAAUGAUGGUGGACAACGGCUACACUGACAGUGAAGAUGAACGACGGUGGAUGAACGACGACUUGUUCAUUUUCUUUCUUCUUCGUGCAUUAUGUGAACACAUAACAACAAAUAGAUUUAGGAAUUAUCGACGCAGUUUGAAAACGUCGGCCAAUAGACCUUUUCUCGACACCAUAAAGAAAAACAUUGACAUUAGUCGAAACUAAGGUCAGCGUUUCACUAAUGGGGUUGGAAAAAAAUUAAUCCGUAAAAUUUAUUACUAACUUUCCCCGACGGGGUAAAAGUGUAAGUUGACAUUAGUUUAUACUGAUGCUGAUGUUUGUACAGUUACUUCGGGAAAAUGUUAACAUUUAAAUAAUUAUUUAACUAUUUCCCGACGUCGUCCUCCAUUGCAUCAAGGAAAGCACAACAAUUACAUAUUUAUUUCAACAUUUUUCGAUGUUAUUGUCCUCAGUGUUGGGGAAAGUUUAAGAACAAAAUUAAUAUUUGACCUUUCCUCAUGUUGUUUUAUUGUGUGUCGGGGAAAUGUGGAUGAUAAAUUUUUAAAAAUGAAAGUGACGGAUCAAGCGCGACGUUUUGAAUUGUGAUGUCGGGCUUGCUCCUCUAAGUCGAUGCCAUAUUGCCUGCGUCGGUAUUGGUCAUUUGUGCCAACAUUUUAAUUUUCAACGUCGGUUUCGAUGUCAAAAUUUUUUUGAUUUCUUGUAGUGUCGUCCUUCAUGCUUUAAUUGUAACCUACCAGUGCUAAAGUUUCUUAUAGACGUAGGGCGUGUUUAUGAGCAAUAGUUGGAGUAGUGACUUUUUUUUAAAAAAUAGGUACAAUUGAUUUUGUAAAAUUGAUUUCUAAGCCAUCAAAAUUUUGUUUGGUUCCAAGCUUGUGAAAACGAUUUUCAAAUAUUUAUAAAAUUAUUUAACCAAUUAAUUAUAAUAAAUAUGUUUUACUAAUUUAUUUAUAUAUAUAUAUAUUUUUUAAAAUGUUUUUUAUUAAAAAGUUGGUCACAAACCGUUGCUGAAAACUGUAGUUGGAAACGAUGGUUGAUGGUAGUCAUCGAAAAAUGAUGAUUAGAGUUUGGUAGCACUGGUCACUGAAGCUGAUCAAAAGGUUGGCAAUGGGGCCGCGAGGAGACACUCCUCGUCCCCGUGGGGAAUCUCCAUCCACAUCCCUGCCUCAUUCCCCGUUUUAGGGAGUCGAGGUUGAAGAUUAGGUUUUUGUGAGGAAAAAUUCAUCAUUUCUAUUUUUUUAAUUAUUUUUAUUUAAAAUAAAUUCAAAUUAAUAGUAUUAAAAUUUUUAACAUUUUUUCAUUUAAAUUUUAAUUAAAAAGUUAAGUUAAUUUAAUUAUUUAAAGAAAAAAACUAACAAAAAGAAAUUGUUUUUAAAUUUAGGCAACAAAAUAUGCUAUAAAUAAAAUACAAAAUAAAUAUAUAUGUAAUAAAAUAAAAUAAAAAAGCUCUUUCCCAUGCCUCAUCUUCUUUAGAACAAUAAGAAAGAUCGUUAGAUCGUAUUUCCGUCAGCCUAAGUUUCAAGUCAAUUGACUUUGAUUCUUAUGUUUCAACUCCUUGAAUUUAUUUACAAGGUUCCAUAAGACAAUGAUAUUGUAGUCGAAAAGAAAAAGCCUAGGUUAAGACUCCUUUUGAGGUAAAACAAUAGCGCUUCCAAACGGAGAGGAGGAGGAACCUUCUAGGUAGGCGCCCUAGAUCUGAGAGGUGAAAAGCUCGUCUUUAAGGAGAGGUAGCAUUUCUUGAAGUUGAAGCUGGCCCUUGUGUCUUGAAAGAGAGGGUUCACUCUUCCUUAUUAAUUUCCGCCCAUCCUUUUUCUAAAAAGAUAUAUGAUGUCGUGAAUAACUAAGACAAAUCCCAUCGAGAACGAGAAGGGUUAAAAAAUUUGAGAGGCGAACACCUUAACAAGUAACGUAACAAUGGACUCUAAUUGAGAACAAUUUUCCACAAUUUUCACAAACUCCUUAGCAUAGAAUUGAUCGUUUUCUAUAAUUUUAUUCAAAUAAACACCAUACUCAAUCUAUUUGAUGUUUCGCAAACUUGAUAGAAAUUUUUUAUCUUAGCAUUAGUAGAUAUAUACAACGAGGUUCUUAUCAUUAGUAAAUUGAGAAAGGUUGUUAGCAUUAGAAAUGGUAGCAAAUAUUGCAAAUACUAAUAAAAAUAGGUCUAUACACCAUACCAUUGCUUUGAUAAGUAUACUUCAAAUAUAUAAUGUAGACUCGUAAAAGAUUAAGGAAACAUUAAUCAUAUAUUGAAGUCCUUGUUUUGAAGAUACCACGUUCAUAUGUAAUCAAUGCUAAAUUUAAUUUCACAUUAUUAGACAUUAAUAAUUGCAAUGCUUGAACUAAUACAUUAAUGCCACUAUUUUAGGGUGAUUAUGUGGUGGUUUGUUUGUUGUUUUCAUAAUAAAAAAUAUUGAGUUAAAAUCAUCAUGGUUUACAUCCUUUUAAAUUCGUUUAAUUUUAGUUUUUGUAAUUUUAAUUUUUCUUAAAGUAAACUAUUAUAAAAAAAAAAAAAUAAUAAACCAUAAAAACAACACUAUUCAGGCAGUGAAAUAUAAUGGGUGGAUAUGUUUUCAAAAAUUAAAAGCAAACAAACAACAAUUUCUUUAAUUAAAAUCAACCAAACAACUUGAUAUAUGAAUCGGUAGUUAUUCGAGCUAACUAAAAUAAAUAAAAAAACAUGGAGAUACUCUUUUUAAAUCGUUAUGACGUUCGAUUAAUCUUGUUUAUAACAAUUUUUAUUUUAAUAUUUACAAAUAAAAUAAAACAUUAUUGUCUACUUGUGAUAUAUCGUGAUAUACAUAUAUCACGAUAGACAUAUACAAUAGUCUAUUGUGGUUUAUGGGACCGUGAUAUUUGUACCUUCCUCAUUUAAAAUAUUUAUUUAAAAAAACUAUAACUAUUAUUAUAUUAUUAAAGGGGAAGGAAAAAAAAAAGUUAAAUAUGUAUUUUUGGAUGAGCCGAUUCCGAAAAUCCAGGCCCAAUUUAAAUGUAAAACUGUCGGAGCAAUUGGGCCGAGGUGGCCCACUUUGUACUUCAUGGUUGAGCAAAAUGCAGAGAAUCGGAGUUUUUAAACGCAUCGCCUUGAAUGAACGAAGAAAUCCAGGUAGUGGUAAAAGGAGGCCAUCUCGACCGCCCAAUUCAGUUCGACCUUCGCCGGUGAUCACCAUGUCCUCCACCCUACGAUCCUCCUCCGUCACCUUCUUCUUCUUCUCUUCCCUUCUCAUUUCCUCACUCUCCAUAGUCCUCGCUUCCGAGUCUGAUCACAAGGUACACAUUUCCUUCUUCUUGAUCUCACCAUUUCUUCCCCCCUCCAACUCCCAUGAAAGUCAAAAUGGUGAUGUUAAUUAGUUUACGCGCCAUUGUAUUGGUUCUUCACUGUCUAUUUUAGCCAUUAAAUUGUCAGAUCUUGCUAUCUUCUUUUGUAUUGACCCAGAUCUGUGGAAUCCCGCGUUCUUUUAGAUCUGGGUUUUUGGUUUAGUGGUUGUAGAAAUUGGUAUUUCUAGGUCUUGGAUGCUUGGGGAUGGGAUGGGGGAGGGGGAUUUUGGAUACCUUGUCUGAUUAUUUAUAUUUUUAAGCUCUCGGACUUCAUGAAUUUCGUUGGAUGUUCGUUUUAGUGGAGUGUGGAUGAUGCUAAGGGUUACGAGAUCUCAAUCUCGUCUGGAGUUGUACCUAUGCUAUCUUUUUUGCGUCGACAGUCUUUCACGUCCGAAAUGGACCUCUGAAGUGAAACGAAAUGGGGACGUACGAGAGAUCUUGGGUGUAUCACUAUAUUUUAUGCUCGUCGUGAGCCUGGAUGGUCGUUGAUAAUUGUCUUAAUUAGAUGGGAUAAUCAAAUUCAUACUUCUACGUCUUGUACUGGGCUAUCUUCGAAGUGUUAUAUGACCAGACAAAAUGUCUCAAUAUGAAUUAAAAAUCUCUAGCUGAUUGCCGAUCAACGCUCCACUGACAUUAAAUUUGGAUGGGAGGCUACCAAUCUGAUUUAUUGAUGCGUGUCCUAUGCGCUUUGAUUCUGACGGAUAGGAGAACUAUCAUUGUGUUUCUUGCACAUUGUUGUAUCCGUACUACGUUGGCAAUACUUUUCUACAUAGAGUAUCGACCCAGUAUUGUAAUAAGAGUCUAAUGGAUCCAAAUUUUGGGUUUCUUUAAAGCGUAAUAAGAGUCUAAUGGUAUCUGGCUAUCUGCCUCCAGAAAGAUUAAUAGCUCUAUCAGCUUUGGAUAUUUUUUAUGCUAUUAAUCAUUUUGUGUUAUUUCUGCAAUCACUUUAUUCUGCUGUUGCAGCCUGUGGUAAUUGUAAUUUUGGAUCAAACAAAAUUAUUGCCUUUAUGUAUACUUCAAUAAUCAGUUGCAGCUAUUUCAGAGUUCAGAUCUGAAAUAGCCUCCAUAGUCGUUUCUUAACUUAUCUAGGUCAAAUUUUCAACCAUGGCGUGAUUGUUGUCACACUGUCUUGUAUCUGACAUAUUUUCUUCCGUGCUUUUAAGAUAAUAUUAUUUUUACGUUAAUCUAUUCCUUCCAUUGUUCCACCCUUUUUCUAUUUUUCCUUGUAGUAUCUACAAGAUGAGUCAGUAACUCUAUGGGUGAAUAAAGUUGGUCCGUACAACAAUCCACAAGAAACAUACAAUUAUUACAGCCUUCCAUUUUGUCAUCCAUCUGGUCAUUCUGCUCACAAAUGGGGUGGUCUUGGCGAGGUCCUUGGAGGAAACGAACUUAUUGACAGCCAAAUUGAGAUUAAGUUCCAAAGUACGCCAACUUCUUUUCAUGUUGGAAGGUUGAAUUUAGGCCUUGUGGUGAUCAUGGAUGAACUGUUGCAACUACUUAACUUUUCUUUUUUGCAGAAAAUGUGGAGAGGACCACUAUUUGUCAACUGGAGCUUGAUGAAUCAAAGGUCAAGCAGUUUAAGGAUGCAAUUGAGAAUGGCUACUGGUUUGAGUUCUUUAUGGGUAUGUUCUACACAGGUUUCUUGUAUUAAAAACUUAGAAUUAGGGGCUCAAAUAGAGUGAUCCAAAUCCAAAGAAAUACUUAUAUCUAGAACAGAAAUUUGAAAUUUGGUGAACAGACUGUCACUAGAAGAUUUGGAGGUCUAGUAUUUUAAGACCGGUGCUCUGACCAUGCAUGAAGACACUAGAAUCUGUUUGAGUUUCCAUAUUUUUCUCUUACUUAAUUUCAUAUUUCUCAUGAGCUAAUUUAUAUGCUCGUGUAUUCUUUUCUUGUAUGACCGGUAAGCCCCAAGGGAAAGGAAUUGCAGUUUCAGCUUCAAAUCUAUUAUUAAAUAUUCGAUACAUGUUCUUAUUUUGUAGUUUCUCUCUGACUGUUGUACAUAACAAUUCUUGAUUGAAGUGUAAAACUUAAAUUUUGACUUUCAUUUAUUCGACGAAUGAAUUCUUUUCUACAGUUUAUUUAUGUCUAUUGGUUAUGCAAAAAAUUGUUGCAAGACCUACACAUAUCUCAUCCAUACUUUCUUCUGAUGUUUUAUUUCAUGAUGCUGGAUGGGGAAUAAUCUUCAGAUGAUUUGCCUCUGUGGGGUAAGUGCUUUCUCUUAUUACAUUUUAGUUUGAUAUCUUGAUCAACGAAAAAUUUGGUGGUCCAAAGUGAUGCUUAUUGCCCCUUUUCAUUUAAGGCUUUGUUGGUGAGUUGCAUCCUGACAAGAAUAGCAAUAACGUGAAGCAUGUCCUUUACACGCAUAAGAACAUCAUCAUCAAAUAUAAUAAAGACCAGGUUUGUUUUCCACCUCCUGAUUUGCAUAGUUUUUUAAUAUUUUUUUUGGGGGUUGGCAUUCAAUAUAGAUAUGAUUUAACAACUAAAUUGUGAUUUUUAUAGAUUAUUCACGUGAAUCUCACCCAAGAAAACUUAAAACCGUUAGAGGUUGGGAAGACACUGGACUUGACAUAUGCUGUGAAGUGGAUUUCGACUAAUGUCACUUUCGCUCGACGAUUUGAUAUUUAUUUGGACUACCCAUUCUUUGAGCAUCAGGUAAUGGAUGACCCUCCUUCUCCCUUAUUGUGUUAUUUUCAUAUCUUUGCCCUAUAUCUUGAGAUUCUUCCUUCCAUCUAACUUAGUAAAUUCUUUAACUUCUUGUGGUAUUUUGUUACAUGCCUGUGUUCACAUACCAUAUCGAAAUAAUUUUCUGGCAUUUGGAAACUUUGCAGAUUCAUUGGUUCUCCAUUUUCAAUUCAUUCAUGAUGGUCAUUUUCCUCACUGGUUUGGUCUCUAUGAUAUUGAUGAGGACUCUUAGAAAUGACUAUGCUAAAUAUGCACGUGAAGAUGAUGAUCUGGAAACCCUGGUCAUACUUUCUUCCCUAUCAUAUGUUAUAUGCUAGUUUAAGCUUCAAUGUCUUCAACUGUCAUUUUUCUCUAUCUUAUGACUUUUUGUUUUCUUUUUGUACCUUUUAUCUUCUUUUUCAGGAGCGAGACGUUAGUGAAGAGUCUGGCUGGAAACUUGUGCAUGGGGAUGUUUUCCGGCCUCCUCGUAACUUAGUAAUUCUUUCAGCUGUUGUUGGUACAGGUGCUCAGCUUGCAUUGCUUGUUCUGCUUGUCAUCCUAUUGGCAAUUGUUGGAAUGUUGUAUGUUGGGUAAGUCAGGAAAUCUAACUUUUGUAUGGAAGUGUGUCUGACAUUUUAAAUUAAGGUGUAUAAGGAAACAAAUUUAAGUAAUUUUUUUUGUAAUGUUUUAAAAGUUGUGUCAAUAAGCACUCAUCACAACCUGCUUAUGACCGCUCCAUCUAACUACAAACAAAGGGGAAGAUUGCAAGUGACACUUUUGUUGCUUUUCUAUAUACAGGAGAGGAGCAAUUGUCACAACUUUCAUUGUAUGCUAUGCUCUUACGUCAUCCAUUUCUGGUUAUGUUAGUGCUGGGAUGUACUCACGCAAUGGGGGUAAGUAUUUCUACUAGUUUAGUGACUGCACUGAUUUGUUAACUUUAGGCUUCAGCGCAAUAUUGAUUUGUAAAACUACCCAACAUAUUUCUUUGAGGUUAUAAUACCAGUAUACUUUAAAGAUUUCUUUCAGCGGCUUCAGCACUUGGCUUAAUUCUUUGGCCCUUUCUAACGUUGUUAUCAUGACAGGUAAAAACUGGAUAAAAUCAAUGAUCUUCACAGCAUCUCUAUUUCCAUUUUUGUGCUUUGGAAUUGGAUUCAUCUUGAACACUAUUGCUAUAUUCUAUGGGUCUCUAGCAGCCAUUCCUUUUGGUACGAUGGUUGUGGUCUUUGUCAUUUGGGCUUUCAUUUCUUUUCCUUUGGCUCUUCUUGGUACGGUAAUUGGACGUAAUUGGAGUGGUGCCCCUAACAAUCCAUGUCGUGUGAAGACUAUUCCUCGUCCUAUCCCUGAGAAGAAAUGGUACCUCACACCAUCUGUUGUAUCCAUGAUGGGAGGAUUGCUGCCUUUUGGCAGUAUUUUCAUAGAGAUGUAUUUUGUCUUUACAUCCUUCUGGAACUACAAGGUAGUAUUGUCUUGUUUCUUGUUGGAAGUUGAAAAUAAUUUGGAGUUUAGUAGUUAAUUAACUGUCAGUGUAGUAGUUCAAAACUUCAGUACACUGCAUGCUAAGUAACAUAACAUUUAAAUAAUCAUUUGGUUACUUUUAUGUCAUGUUUGGAUUAAUUAUAGAAAAAAACGUUUAUCCAAAAAGUCAUUUUUAUUUUAACUCUUUUGAUAAAACUGUUUAAAAUAGUCGUUAAUUGUGUCUUGUAAACUAUUUUGAGAGGUUGACAUUUCAUUUCUUCUCUUUCCAAAAUGACUUAUUUUUAAACUAAACACUUAAAAAAGUUAACAAAACACACCCUAAAGCACUUUAUGGAUGAGAUGCUUGUUUCUUCAAGUUUUAAAAUCAAUUUAGGAAUUCCAACAAGACGUUCUAGGAUGUGUUGGCAGUAUUGGAAUAGCAACUUACUAGCUCGGCCUAUAACUUGUUGUCCCCCUAUCCACAGGUGUACUACGUAUAUGGAUUCAUGCUGCUGGUUUUUCUAAUUCUCAUCAUAGUUACUGUCUGCGUGACCAUUGUGGGAACAUAUUUCUUGCUUAAUGCCGAGAACUAUCACUGGCAGUGGACUUCAUUUUUCUCUGCUGCUUCAACUGCUGUCUAUGUCUACUUCUACUCGAUAUACUACUAUUAUGUGAAGACCAAGAUGUCCGGCUUUUUCCAAACCAGCUUCUAUUUUGGAUACACUUUGAUGUUCUGCCUUGGGUUGGGAAUUCUUUGUGGUGAGUUUUACAAUUUUACUGGCAUAUUCAAGUUAUUACGUGCUUUCUCGUUCACCUUAAAAGUGGCAUCUUCAACAAUUGAACAUGAAGAAGGCUUUGUCUUUCUUAGUUCUGUCUAUGAGCAAAUGUUGAUGGUCAUCUGAGAGCCAAAUUUCUUGCUAUGUUUUGAUUUCUGUAUAUUUUUGUUCAUGUUUCUUUUCUUAUGACAUAAAAUUUGAAUUGUGCAGGAGCUGUUGGUUACUUGGGUUCCAAUUUGUUCGUACGGAGGAUCUACAGGAACAUCAAAUGUGAUUAGGGGUAUUUUUGGAAGCAGAAGACCUACGCUACCUUGAAGCAUUUUCAUAGUGGAGGCAAUAACUUCGAGAAGCCCUUGACACAUGGGAGGCCUAGCAACGCAGUAAUACCUGUAGAAAUUAAAAGAUUUUGAGAUGGGGACAUGUUCUUAGCCCUGAGAUAUUUUCUUUUUGGUAAUUGAUGCGUUUUGCCCAAGCUGUAAUUGAAUAUCUUGAUUUAGAGUUUGAGAGAUUGCUUUUCAUAAUGUAGAAAAGUUGACCAAAUUGUUAGACCCAUGUCAUUUUUAUAAUAUUUUUUUUUUUGUCUUCACACAUCAUAAAGAAAUGACCGAGGUCUAUUUCUAUAUUAUGGUUCUAUUUGAAAUGAUAGUCGAUGGAUUGACACUCAAGAAUUACUGAAGGAGUAAGACUGGCUUUAGGAUAUGAUUUUGAGUUUGGCAGUUUGGGAUGUAGUUGUGUGGAGGAAGAAACUUAGAAUAUAAGAAUCCCCAAAUUACUGAAAACUUUGUGACUUGAAUGAAAAAGCAAAAAGCAAAAAGAAUGUUUAUUGUAUAGUUUCUUGAGAGAGAGACUUAAAAUGAUGUAGAAGAUUAGGUUAAGGCCAUAUGAUUCUGUUGAAAGGUAGAGGAGCGUGUGGAAGCCAUGGCCUCUCAUUCCCAUGGUCCCAUGAUUGUUGAUAAAAUGACAGAGUAUUAGCUCGUAGCCUUUCAUUUCAUUUCUUAUCUACAGGUGUGGGCUCCUCUUCUACUACAAGCUGAGUAAGGCAUACGAAUAAGAUCCAGAAGUCAGUGGCCAUUCAUCUUGGUAGAGCAGCAAAAUGACCAGUUCACCAGCACUUUCCAGUGUGACAUUGAACACCUCGUUUCUCCAGAAGCAGCCAACAACAAGGAUAAGGUUGGUGUUGAACUUUGGCCAAGAUUUGUUUAAGCUGAAGGGUGGCAGCAGCCGAGGUGGGCGAGUGAUUGCAAUGGCAGAGUACAACGUGAAGUUGAUCACACCAACAGGAGAGACGGAGUUCAAGUGCCCGGAUGACGAAUACAUUCUUGAUCGAGCUGAGCAAAUGGGAUUUGAUCUUCCAUAUUCAUGUAGAGCAGGGUCUUGCUCUUCUUGUGCAGGGAAAGUAGUAUCAGGGAAGGUGGAUCAGUCAGAUGGGAGCUACCUUGAGGAUGAUCAGAUGGAUGAAGGUUGGGUUUUAACUUGUGUUGCUUACCCGCAGUCAGAUGUUGUCAUUGAGACACACAAGGAGGAAUAUCUAUUUAGUUAGUUAGUUAAGUCUGCUUCAAGAUCUAGUUAUUUAUCUCCAUGAAAUGAUUCUGGCUUGCCUUCAGGUCCUUAAUCAGAUGUCUCAUGGAGUUUUUUGAUCACUUUUCUUAGUUUUACACCAACAUUCUAAAACCAAUUUAGGUUAGGAUUUAAAUUGAUAUAUUUGUAAAAAUUUUAGAUUUAAAUUGGUACAAUUAUUUAGUUUAGGGUUUAGAUUGACAUAACUUCAAAGUUCAGGGUUUAAAUUGAUGCACAUUAUCUUAUACGACUCCAAAAAUUUAGAGAUAUAAAUUGAUAUUUGUUCUAAUUUUAAAUAACAUCACUAUGCAAGAGACUAUCGAUAACUAAGGUCCUCAUUUCAAGUAGAGAAUACCUCACUAUUGUAAUUAGAGCGUAAAACACACCACUAACAUAAUUAAAGUCUCAACAGAUUUUUUCAAUAAAAUCCAUAGAGGGUUCAUCCUUAGUUUACAUCAUAUUCGCAGACAGCUCGUUGAGAGCACGAAUGAUGUCUAACGAGUUCGAUUAUACCCACAAAAGAUGGCUGUUGACAAUAUAACCUCCCCUUCCAAUACGUCAAUGGGCUUAGUGCAAAUAGAAGAUCUUUGAGAGUCACAAACUGCCCACCCCACCCCUCCAACCAUCUAUCCUAACUCCCACGCCUCACUGACCUUAUUUCCAGAAAGCUGAAGACUUAUCAUUCAUCUUGAAGAUGCAAUGAAGAUUGAACUUCUCAUCAUCGCUAUGCAAGGAAUGAAGCUAAUUUUUGUAGCUCCACAAAACAAUAAUCACCUUCGUAAGAUCCAUAUUUCUCAGUUUGCCUACGGUCCUCGCCUAAAGGUCCAUCGACAUCGACUACCAAUCCUCUUUGCAAGAGAUAAGUGAACCAAAUGAGAUUAGAAAAGUAUUGUUCCCACACUUUUUGAGCAAACUAACACAAACCACAUAUUGUGGCAUGCGGUCUCCUUGUCUUUCCUGCAAAAUAAGCCAAAAAGAGUUCAUAGAAACUUUAGAAGUUGUGUUAUGAAGUAACUACGUGUUGGUUUGAUCUUUUGUAAAUUGACUAAAAUUCAGAAGAAACAUAGAUAGUCUAAAGGAAAGAAAAAUUGAAGUUUCACUUAAUUUCAUGUUUGAGAGCUAAAUUACAUUGUUAAAUAACUUAGGUUAGGCUAGGAAUUAAAUUGCAAAUGAUUUACCUUUAGCUUUACUAAUGAAAUUAAGUGACAUAUGCUCUUUAUUGGUUCAUGAUAUUUCAUAAAGUUUUGAAGUUUUUGCCAUUUAAAUUUGUGGUUUUCAAGUCUGUCCUUAAAUCCAAUUCUUCUAAAGGUUUUUAGUUAGGGAAAUACAAAUCUGAGAUAAUUUGCCAUUUUUUCUUGUUUUGGUGUGGUUUUGAAGCAUUAUUUUGAUCACAUUCUUUUAAAGCUCAAAUAUAUGUUUUGGUUCCAUUGUUUAAAAUGCUUCAAUUUAAUAUUUAAGAUAUGUUUGGAAUUUUAAUUUAAAGAAUAUAAUGUUUGGUAACGUCUGGAAAUAGCUUUGAAAUGUAUUUUAAAUAGUUUUUAUUACGUGAAUUUAAUAAAAUUAAGUUUUUUUAAAAAUAUUUUUUUAUUAAUAUAUGCAUGUAUUUAUUUGUUUCGAAUGUUUUUUAAAUAUAGAAAAUGAGCUAAUUUUUUUUAAAAAUAAAUAUAACGAAAUUAUACUUUCUAUAGACUCAAAAUAAUCAACAAUUACUUCAGUGAUAGACAUUGAGAGAUCGGAGUCUAUUAUUGAUAGAAAGUAGUUCUUCUUUCUUAUUUCCUUCUUCGUUAUGGUUCCUUGUGUGCAUUUUUAUCCAACAAGUUCCAAAUCUUUGAAAGAAAAGAUUUUUCAAAGAGAAAAAUUGUGAGUUUAAAAUUAUUUUUAAGGCCAAUAUCAAUUUACAAAUCUAAAUUUUAGGUCAUAUCAAUUAAAACUUUGAACUUUAAUUGUCACGAUGCCAUGUAAAAUAAAAGGAUCAAAUUCUCUUCUCGUGUAUGGAAAUUGAAAUCAAUAUAAGAUAAUUUAGUAAAUAAAGAUACUACUUUAAUUAUCAUAUAAAAUAUCAAUAGUUUCAAUCUCUUGCUUUACCACGGUUGAACUCAAAACAAUAACAAUAAAAAAUUCAAUGGGACAACAUGAGCGUAAAUCCAACUUGUUGUCCAUACAUGGGUGGAUUUAUUAAGGAGUCGGGACUCCUCUCACAUUCUCGAUUUUUGUAUUUUAAUAUUAAUUUUGAAGUGUUAGAUUGUAAUAUAUAUUAAAUAAUGUUUUACCUUUACUAAAUUCUAGUUUUGGUGUAAUAACUAUGCUCUUCUACAAAAUCGUAAGGUUUCGGGGUUAGAUAUUUGCCUAUUAUAAUUAUUUUUGUCAUUUGCUGCAUUCGAUAAACAAAAACUUAGUCGACUUGCUCAGUUUUAUCCAAGAGAAUUUUCAGCUAUUGAACUCUCUUGAGUUUGUUGAACUAAAAAGCAUUGGUGAUCUUGUAGUGAAAAUAGUUGUUACAAAAAGAGAUAAGGUCUACCCAUUAUUUUAUCCAUUGCUCACAUUGACAUUGAUUUUACCGGUUGCAACAACUACUUAGAGAAAACUUUUUUUGCUAUGAAUAUUAUGAAGACUCGACUACGUAAUCGAGUUGGAGAUCGAUAGAUGAAUUAUUGUCUUAUAGCUUAUAUUGAGAAAUAUUUCUUGGAUAAGUUGAUAAUAAACUUAUCAUAAAUCGAUUUUAAAAUAUAAAAACUCGUAGAGAAUAGUUGCAAUACGUAUUAAAUUAAUUAAUCUUUAAAGCUACUAAUAUUUUUUAAAACAUUUUUUAGUGUGUUUGUUAUAUAGUGUUCUUACAUAAAAUUUCUAGAUCCACCAUUGUGUUCAUAUAUAUUUCAUUUAACAUGUGUUAAAAAUGAAAAAGUCAGUGAUUUGAAUUUUCUCAUUCUAUCGAAUUAAAGAAAACUGUGUGUCAAUUCAUUCAAAUUUGAUAAGAUUCAUCCACUUCAACCCUUCUCUAUUCAUUACUAACCAAUGCAAAAAUUCAAUGACACCAAAUUGAAGUUCCACCCUUGUCUUAAGAAGAAUGUUUACACAAUGUCCUAAUCUUUUAAUGCAGUGUGUUUUUAUUAGUUUCAAGAAUUUAGUGGAUCCACUUAUCAUAUAAAUGUAAAAUAGAAAAUACUCAUACAAAGUCAUCACUAUGACACAAGUAGUCACCAAUAGACAAAAUUCUUUUAAUGAAUAAGUUAUUAUUUCAUCAUUUAGUUUCCAAAACUUAUAUAUUUUGAGUAAUUGAGAUUUGAAUUUAGGUUUGGUUUAAUUCCUUCAAGUUGGGAGAGUGACAUUUAGUUCUUUCUAAGUUUUGAGUUUUUAAAUUGUUUUUAAGUAAGAUUACAACUAAAUGAUAUAACAAAAUGGUGACGUUAUAGUUAGAUAUGUCGUUUAGACUUUUUUUAAAUUGCUAAUUCUUGUCAAAGAAAGUUAGAUUACAAGGUUUUUAUAAUACAAUAGGAUUGGAGGAAUUUGAAUCACAAGAUUGCAUAUUCAGUUAAACUACUUUUGCAAAAAUGAAAACUCAAUGAUGGAAAAAGAGUUCAAAUCUUGUGUAAUGUUCCAAGUUUAGGUGUGAGUCGUGAAUGAAUUAGGAUCAUUUCUAAUUGAGAUAGACUUAAAAACAUAAGAUAAUGGUUAAGAAAAACCCAAAAGAAUUGAAUGUUUCUACGUAUUCCAAGAAUGUGCCUUCUUCUUUUGGAUGACUCAAUCAUAUAAACUACAAAACAUUGGUGUUAGUUUGUGAUGCCAAUAGCGUUAAAUGGUAGAGACAAAGAGUAAUGUCGAGACCAUUAGACAUCGAAUCUAGAUUCCAAAUCCUAGUAAAUACUCGGGCUUGGGACAUCUCGAGACCAAAAGUAUAUUUUGUUUAUUGAUUAUUAUUGUAUUUUAAAAAAAUGGUUUAUGAAGGCAUUAGUACUCGGUAGCAGCUGUUGUUCACAUUUUGAAACCAAAUCUUUGGAAGGAUAAGAAUCCACAACCAUUACCAUUCGUUGCCAAAAGAUAAGGCGUUAACUCACAUCCACACGCUCUCUAUUUCACUCUCCACGUUAUAGCCACACGACCCAAAAAUCCUCUUUAAAAAACCCUCUCCACUCUCUCAAUUCCAUUUCAUCUCAUCUCAUCUCCAAUCCAACACAAGAACAAUAAGAAAAAUGAGCAGCACCACUGCAAUCACCUCCCCAUUUCCGGCCACCUCCUUCAUCCGUCGGAAUCCUACCGGUGGAGUGAGUUUCAAGCCAUUUCCCAACAUGGGUGAGUCUCUGUACGGGCUGAAACACCGCGGCGGACGACUGGCGAUGAAGGCAUACAAGGUGAAACUCAUAACCCCAGAUGGAGAGAAAACGGUUGAAUGUGAUGCUGAUCUUUACAUUUUGGAUGCGGCUGAGGAAAGUGGGCUUGAUCUUCCUUACUCUUGCAGAGCUGGGGCUUGUUCUUCAUGCGUUGGGAAAGUGGUAUCAGGGAAAUUGGAUCAAUCUGAUCAGAGUUUUCUUGAUGAUGAGCAAGUGGCUGAAGGUUGGGUUUUAACUUGUGUUGCUAGGCCUGAGUCUGAUCUUGUAAUUGAGACUCACAAGGAGGAUUCCUUUGCUGGUUAAAACAGAGGAACAAGAAGGGAUUAAACUUAUUUUUUCUUUUUAUCUUUUCUAUCUUUGUUGAUGAGAGUAAGCAUAAUGGACAUUGUUUUCUUAGCUUGAUGAUGAUGAUGAUGAUGAUGAUGAUAUCUCUCUUUUAAAGUGUUUGUUGAAAAUUGUAUUGUUCAUUACUGGUUUAAGUUUAUUUACAACUCGGGUUUUGUUUAUCUGUUGUUGGGUUCUUAACUUUCAUUUCUUUUUGGCUUCUUUACUUUCAUGUGAAUGAUACUGUCUUUUAGCUUCACGU